rnacentral:lncRNA from 1 species
AGGUGCGAUCAUACCAGCACUAAUGCACCGGAUCCCAUCAGAACUCCGCAGUUAAGCGUGCUUGGGCGAGAGUAGUACUAGGAUGGGUGACCUCCUGGGAAGUCCUUGUGUUGCACCUCUUUUUGCCAAAAUUUCGUGUUCUUUUUGUUAAUUAGCGUAAUUUUACGUCGUUCCGUUAAUUUACGCUACCUAACACUCUAUUAGUUAAUUAAUUAGCGUAGUUUGACGUCUUUUUUGAAAAAUAAAUUAGAAAUGCAUAUAUACAAUUACAACGCUUUACUCUCAGGUGCGAUCAUACCAGCACUAAUGCACCGGAUCCCAUCAGAACUCCGCAGUUAAGCGUGCUUGGGCGAGAGUAGUACUAGGAUGGGUGACCUCCUGGGAAGUCCUUGUGUUGCACCUCUUUUUGCCAAAAUUUCGUGUUCUUUUUGUUAAUUAGCGUAAUUUUACGUCGUUCCGUUAAUUUACGCUACCUAACACUCUAUUAGUUAAUUAAUUAGCGUAGUUUGACGUCUUUUUUGAAAAAUAAAUUAGAAAUGCAUAUAUACAAUUACAACGCUUUACUCUCAGGUGCGAUCAUACCAGCACUAAUGCACCGGAUCCCAUCAGAACUCCGCAGUUAAGCGUGCUUGGGCGAGAGUAGUACUAGGAUGGGUGACCUCCUGGGAAGUCCUUGUGUUGCACCUCUUUUUGCCAAAAUUUCGUGUUCUUUUUGUUAAUUAGCGUAAUUUUACGUCGUUCCGUUAAUUUACGCUACCUAACACUCUAUUAGUUAAUUAAUUAGCGUAGUUUGACGUCUUUUUUGAAAAAUAAAUUAGAAAUGCAUAUAUACAAUUACAACGCUUUACUCUCAGGUGCGAUCAUACCAGCACUAAUGCACCGGAUCCCAUCAGAACUCCGCAGUUAAGCGUGCUUGGGCGAGAGUAGUACUAGGAUGGGUGACCUCCUGGGAAGUCCUUGUGUUGCACCUCUUUUUGCCAAAAUUUCGUGUUCUUUUUGUUAAUUAGCGUAAUUUUACGUCGUUUUGAAAAAUAAACUUCAAUUGUAUUUCAUUUUUCCGUUAAUUUACGCUACCUAACACUCUAUUAGUUAAUUAAUUAGCGUAGUUUGACGUCUUUUUUGAAAAAUAAAUUAGAAAUGCAUAUAUACAAUUACAACGCUUUACUCUCAGGUGCGAUCAUACCAGCACUAAUGCACCGGAUCCCAUCAGAACUCCGCAGUUAAGCGUGCUUGGGCGAGAGUAGUACUAGGAUGGGUGACCUCCUGGGAAGUCCUUGUGUUGCACCUCUUUUUGCCAAAAUUUCGUGUUCUUUUUGUUAAUUAGCGUAAUUUUACGUCGUUCCGUUAAUUUACGCUACCUAACACUCUAUUAGUUAAUUAAUUAGCGUAGUUUGACGUCUUUUUUGAAAAAUAAAUUAGAAAUGCAUAUAUACAAUUACAACGCUUUACUCUCAGGUGCGAUCAUACCAGCACUAAUGCACCGGAUCCCAUCAGAACUCCGCAGUUAAGCGUGCUUGGGCGAGAGUAGUACUAGGAUGGGUGACCUCCUGGGAAGUCCUUGUGUUGCACCUCUUUUUGCCAAAAUUUCGUGUUCUUUUUGUUAAUUAGCGUAAUUUUACGUCGUUCCGUUAAUUUACGCUACCUAACACUCUAUUAGUUAAUUAAUUAGCGUAGUUUGACGUCUUUUUUGAAAAAUAAAUUAGAAAUGCAUAUAUACAAUUACAACGCUUUACUCUCAGGUGCGAUCAUACCAGCACUAAUGCACCGGAUCCCAUCAGAACUCCGCAGUUAAGCGUGCUUGGGCGAGAGUAGUACUAGGAUGGGUGACCUCCUGGGAAGUCCUUGUGUUGCACCUCUUUUUGCCAAAAUUUCGUGUUCUUUUUGUUAAUUAGCGUAAUUUUACGUCGUUCCGUUAAUUUACGCUACCUAACACUCUAUUAGUUAAUUAAUUAGCGUAGUUUGACGUCUUUUUGAAAAAUAAAUUAGAAAUGCAUAUAUACAAUUACAACGCUUUACUCUCAGGUGCGAUCAUACCAGCACUAAUGCACCGGAUCCCAUCAGAACUCCGCAGUUAAGCGUGCUUGGGCGAGAGUAGUACUAGGAUGGGUGACCUCCUGGGAAGUCCUUGUGUUGCACCUCUUUUUGCCAAAAUUUCGUGUUCUUUUUGUUAAUUAGCGUAAUUUUACGUCGUUCCGUUAAUUUACGCUACCUAACACUCUAUUAGUUAAUUAAUUAGCGUAGUUUGACGUCUUUUUUGAAAAAUAAAUUAGAAAUGCAUAUAUACAAUUACAACGCUUUACUCUCAGGUGCGAUCAUACCAGCACUAAUGCACCGGAUCCCAUCAGAACUCCGCAGUUAAGCGUGCUUGGGCGAGAGUAGUACUAGGAUGGGUGACCUCCUGGGAAGUCCUUGUGUUGCACCUCUUUUUGCCAAAAUUUCGUGUUCUUUUUGUUAAUUAGCGUAAUUUUACGUCGUUUUGAAAAAUAAACUUCGAUUGUAUUCAUUUUUCCGUUAAUUUACGCUACCUAACACUCUAUUAGUUAAUUAAUUAGCGUAGUUUGACGUCUUUUUUGAAAAAUAAAUUAGAAAUGCAUAUAUACAAUUACAACGCUUUACUCUCAGGUGCGAUCAUACCAGCACUAAUGCACCGGAUCCCAUCAGAACUCCGCAGUUAAGCGUGCUUGGGCGAGAGUAGUACUAGGAUGGGUGACCUCCUGGGAAGUCCUUGUGUUGCACCUCUUUUGCCAAAAUUUCGUGUUCUUUUUGUUAAUUAGCGUAAUUUUACGUCGUUCCGUUAAUUUACGCUACCUAACACUCUAUUAGUUAAUUAAUUAGCGUAGUUUGACGUCUUUUUGAAAAAUAAAUUAGAAAUGCAUAUAUACAAUUACAACGCUUUACUCUCAGGUGCGAUCAUACCAGCACUAAUGCACCGGAUCCCAUCAGAACUCCGCAGUUAAGCGUGCUUGGGCGAGAGUAGUACUAGGAUGGGUGACCUCCUGGGAAGUCCUUGUGUUGCACCUCUUUUUGCCAAAAUUUCGUGUUCUUUUUGUUAAUUAGCGUAAUUUUACGUCGUUCCGUUAAUUUACGCUACCUAACACUCUAUUAGUUAAUUAAUUAGCGUAGUUUGACGUCUUUUUUGAAAAAUAAAUUAGAAAUGCAUAUAUACAAUUACAACGCUUUACUCUCAGGUGCGAUCAUACCAGCACUAAUGCACCGGAUCCCAUCAGAACUCCGCAGUUAAGCGUGCUUGGGCGAGAGUAGUACUAGGAUGGGUGACCUCCUGGGAAGUCCUUGUGUUGCACCUCUUUUUGCCAAAAUUUCGUGUUCUUUUUGUUAAUUAGCGUAAUUUUACGUCGUUCCGUUAAUUUACGCUACCUAACACUCUAUUAGUUAAUUAAUUAGCGUAGUUUGACGUCUUUUUUGAAAAAUAAAUUAGAAAUGCAUAUAUACAAUUACAACGCUUUACUCUCAGGUGCGAUCAUACCAGCACUAAUGCACCGGAUCCCAUCAGAACUCCGCAGUUAAGCGUGCUUGGGCGAGAGUAGUACUAGGAUGGGUGACCUCCUGGGAAGUCCUUGUGUUGCACCUCUUUUUGCCAAAAUUUCGUGUUCUUUUUGUUAAUUAGCGUAAUUUUACGUCGUUUUGAAAAUAAACUUCGAUUGUAUUUCAUUUUUCCGUUAAUUUACGCUACCUAACACUCUAUUAGUUAAUUAAUUAGCGUAGUUUGACGUCUUUUUUGAAAAAUAAAUUAGAAAUGCAUAUAUACAAUUACAACGCUUUACUCUCAGGUGCGAUCAUACCAGCACUAAUGCACCGGAUCCCAUCAGAACUCCGCAGUUAAGCGUGCUUGGGCGAGAGUAGUACUAGGAUGGGUGACCUCCUGGGAAGUCCUUGUGUUGCACCUCUUUUUGCCAAAAUUUCGUGUUCUUUUUGUUAAUUAGCGUAAUUUUACGUCGUUCCGUUAAUUUACGCUACCUAACACUCUAUUAGUUAAUUAAUUAGCGUAGUUUGACGUCUUUUUUGAAAAUAAAUUAGAAAUGCAUAUAUACAAUUACAACGCUUUACUCUCAGGUGCGAUCAUACCAGCACUAAUGCACCGGAUCCCAUCAGAACUCCGCAGUUAAGCGUGCUUGGGCGAGAGUAGUACUAGGAUGGGUGACCUCCUGGGAAGUCCUUGUGUUGCACCUCUUUUUGCCAAAAUUUCGUGUUCUUUUUGUUAAUUAGCGUAAUUUUACGUCGUUCCGUUAAUUUACGCUACCUAACACUCUAUUAGUUAAUUAAUUAGCGUAGUUUGACGUCUUUUUUGAAAAAUAAAUUAGAAAUGCAUAUAUACAAUUACAACGCUUUACUCUCAGGUGCGAUCAUACCAGCACUAAUGCACCGGAUCCCAUCAGAACUCCGCAGUUAAGCGUGCUUGGGCGAGAGUAGUACUAGGAUGGGUGACCUCCUGGGAAGUCCUUGUGUUGCACCUCUUUUUGCCAAAAUUUCGUGUUCUUUUUGUUAAUUAGCGUAAUUUUACGUCGUUCCGUUAAUUUACGCUACCUAACACUCUAUUAGUUAAUUAAUUAGCGUAGUUUGACGUCUUUUUGAAAAAUAAAUUAGAAAUGCAUAUAUACAAUUACAACGCUUUACUCUCAGGUGCGAUCAUACCAGCACUAAUGCACCGGAUCCCAUCAGAACUCCGCAGUUAAGCGUGCUUGGGCGAGAGUAGUACUAGGAUGGGUGACCUCCUGGGAAGUCCUUGUGUUGCACCUCUUUUUGCCAAAAUUUCGUGUUCUUUUUGUUAAUUAGCGUAAUUUUACGUCGUUCCGUUAAUUUACGCUACCUAACACUCUAUUAGUUAAUUAAUUAGCGUAGUUUGACGUCUUUUUUGAAAAAUAAAUUAGAAAUGCAUAUAUACAAUUACAACGCUUUACUCUCAGGUGCGAUCAUACCAGCACUAAUGCACCGGAUCCCAUCAGAACUCCGCAGUUAAGCGUGCUUGGGCGAGAGUAGUACUAGGAUGGGUGACCUCCUGGGAAGUCCUUGUGUUGCACCUCUUUUUGCCAAAAUUUCGUGUUCUUUUUGUUAAUUAGCGUAAUUUUACGUCGUUUUGAAAAAUAAACUUCGAUUGUAUUUCAUUUUUCCGUUAAUUUACGCUACCUAACACUCUAUUAGUUAAUUAAUUAGCGUAGUUUGACGUCUUUUUGAAAAAUAAAUUAGAAAUGCAUAUAUACAAUUACAACGCUUUACUCUCAGGUGCGAUCAUACCAGCACUAAUGCACCGGAUCCCAUCAGAACUCCGCAGUUAAGCGUGCUUGGCGAGAGUAGUACUAGGAUGGGUGACCUCCUGGGAAGUCCUUGUGUUGCACCUCUUUUUGCCAAAAUUUCGUGUUCUUUUUGUUAAUUAGCGUAAUUUUACGUCGUUCCGUUAAUUUACGCUACCUAACACUCUAUUAGUUAAUUAAUUAGCGUAGUUUGACGUCUUUUUUGAAAAAUAAAUUAGAAAUGCAUAUAUACAAUUACAACGCUUUACUCUCAGGUGCGAUCAUACCAGCACUAAUGCACCGGAUCCCAUCAGAACUCCGCAGUUAAGCGUGCUUGGGCGAGAGUAGUACUAGGAUGGGUGACCUCCUGGGAAGUCCUUGUGUUGCACCUCUUUUUGCCAAAAUUUCGUGUUCUUUUUGUUAAUUAGCGUAAUUUUACGUCGUUCCGUUAAUUUACGCUACCUAACACUCUAUUAGUUAAUUAAUUAGCGUAGUUUGACGUCUUUUUGAAAAAUAAAUUAGAAAUGCAUAUAUACAAUUACAACGCUUUACUCUCAGGUGCGAUCAUACCAGCACUAAUGCACCGGAUCCCAUCAGAACUCCGCAGUUAAGCGUGCUUGGGCGAGAGUAGUACUAGGAUGGGUGACCUCCUGGGAAGUCCUUGUGUUGCACCUCUUUUUGCCAAAAUUUCGUGUUCUUUUUGUUAAUUAGCGUAAUUUUACGUCGUUCCGUUAAUUUACGCUACCUAACACUCUAUUAGUUAAUUAAUUAGCGUAGUUUGACGUCUUUUUUGAAAAAUAAAUUAGAAAUGCAUAUAUACAAUUACAACGCUUUACUCUCAGGUGCGAUCAUACCAGCACUAAUGCACCGGAUCCCAUCAGAACUCCGCAGUUAAGCGUGCUUGGGCGAGAGUAGUACUAGGAUGGGUGACCUCCUGGGAAGUCCUUGUGUUGCACCUCUUUUUGCCAAAAUUUCGUGUUCUUUUUGUUAAUUAGCGUAAUUUUACGUCGUUCCGUUAAUUUACGCUACCUAACACUCUAUUAGUUAAUUAAUUAGCGUAGUUUGACGUCUUUUUUGAAAAAUAAAUUAGAAAUGCAUAUAUACAAUUACAACGCUUUACUCUCAGGUGCGAUCAUACCAGCACUAAUGCACCGGAUCCCAUCAGAACUCCGCAGUUAAGCGUGCUUGGGCGAGAGUAGUACUAGGAUGGGUGACCUCCUGGGAAGUCCUUGUGUUGCACCUCUUUUUGCCAAAAUUUCGUGUUCUUUUUGUUAAUUAGCGUAAUUUUACGUCGUUCCGUUAAUUUACGCUACCUAACACUCUAUUAGUUAAUUAAUUAGCGUAGUUUGACGUCUUUUUUGAAAAAUAAAUUAGAAAUGCAUAUAUACAAUUACAACGCUUUACUCUCAGGUGCGAUCAUACCAGCACUAAUGCACCGGAUCCCAUCAGAACUCCGCAGUUAAGCGUGCUUGGGCGAGAGUAGUACUAGGAUGGGUGACCUCCUGGGAAGUCCUUGUGUUGCACCUCUUUUUGCCAAAAUUUCGUGUUCUUUUUGUUAAUUAGCGUAAUUUUACGUCGUUCCGUUAAUUUACGCUACCUAACACUCUAUUAGUUAAUUAAUUAGCGUAGUUUGACGUCUUUUUUGAAAAAUAAAUUAGAAAUGCAUAUAUACAAUUACAACGCUUUACUCUCAGGUGCGAUCAUACCAGCACUAAUGCACCGGAUCCCAUCAGAACUCCGCAGUUAAGCGUGCUUGGGCGAGAGUAGUACUAGGAUGGGUGACCUCCUGGGAAGUCCUUGUGUUGCACCUCUUUUUGCCAAAAUUUCGUGUUCUUUUUGUUAAUUAGCGUAAUUUUACGUCGUUUUGAAAAUAAACUUCGAUUGUAUUUCAUUUUUCCGUUAAUUUACGCUACCUAACACUCUAUUAGUUAAUUAAUUAGCGUAGUUUGACGUCUUUUUUGAAAAAUAAAUUAGAAAUGCAUAUAUACAAUUACAACGCUUUACUCUCAGGUGCGAUCAUACCAGCACUAAUGCACCGGAUCCCAUCAGAACUCCGCAGUUAAGCGUGCUUGGGCGAGAGUAGUACUAGGAUGGGUGACCUCCUGGGAAGUCCUUGUGUUGCACCUCUUUUUGCCAAAAUUUCGUGUUCUUUUUGUUAAUUAGCGUAAUUUUACGUCGUUCCGUUAAUUUACGCUACCUAACACUCUAUUAGUUAAUUAAUUAGCGUAGUUUGACGUCUUUUUUGAAAAAUAAAUUAGAAAUGCAUAUAUACAAUUACAACGCUUUACUCUCAGGUGCGAUCAUACCAGCACUAAUGCACCGGAUCCCAUCAGAACUCCGCAGUUAAGCGUGCUUGGGCGAGAGUAGUACUAGGAUGGGUGACCUCCUGGGAAGUCCUUGUGUUGCACCUCUUUUUGCCAAAAUUUCGUGUUCUUUUUGUUAAUUAGCGUAAUUUUACGUCGUUCCGUUAAUUUACGCUACCUAACACUCUAUUAGUUAAUUAAUUAGCGUAGUUUGACGUCUUUUUUGAAAAAUAAAUUAGAAAUGCAUAUAUACAAUUACAACGCUUUACUCUCAGGUGCGAUCAUACCAGCACUAAUGCACCGGAUCCCAUCAGAACUCCGCAGUUAAGCGUGCUUGGGCGAGAGUAGUACUAGGAUGGGUGACCUCCUGGGAAGUCCUUGUGUUGCACCUCUUUUUGCCAAAAUUUCGUGUUCUUUUUGUUAAUUAGCGUAAUUUUACGUCGUUCCGUUAAUUUACGCUACCUAACACUCUAUUAGUUAAUUAAUUAGCGUAGUUUGACGUCUUUUUUGAAAAAUAAAUUAGAAAUGCAUAUAUACAAUUACAACGCUUUACUCUCAGGUGCGAUCAUACCAGCACUAAUGCACCGGAUCCCAUCAGAACUCCGCAGUUAAGCGUGCUUGGGCGAGAGUAGUACUAGGAUGGGUGACCUCCUGGGAAGUCCUUGUGUUGCACCUCUUUUUGCCAAAAUUUCGUGUUCUUUUGUUAAUUAGCGUAAUUUUACGUCGUUCCGUUAAUUUACGCUACCUAACACUCUAUUAGUUAAUUAAUUAGCGUAGUUUGACGUCUUUUUGAAAAAUAAAUUAGAAAUGCAUAUAUACAAUUACAACGCUUUACUCUCAGGUGCGAUCAUACCAGCACUAAUGCACCGGAUCCCAUCAGAACUCCGCAGUUAAGCGUGCUUGGGCGAGAGUAGUACUAGGAUGGGUGACCUCCUGGGAAGUCCUUGUGUUGCACCUCUUUUUGCCAAAAUUUCGUGUUCUUUUUGUUAAUUAGCGUAAUUUUACGUCGUUUUUGAAAAUAACUUCGAUUGUAUUUCAUUUUUCCGUUAAUUUACGCUACCUAACACUCUAUUAGUUAAUUAAUUAGCGUAGUUUGACGUCUUUUUUGAAAAAUAAAUUAGAAAUGCAUAUAUACAAUUACAACGCUUUACUCUCAGGUGCGAUCAUACCAGCACUAAUGCACCGGAUCCCAUCAGAACUCCGCAGUUAAGCGUGCUUGGGCGAGAGUAGUACUAGGAUGGGUGACCUCCUGGGAAGUCCUUGUGUUGCACCUCUUUUGCCAAAAUUUCGUGUUCUUUUUGUUAAUUAGCGUAAUUUUACGUCGUUCCGUUAAUUUACGCUACCUAACACUCUAUUAGUUAAUUAAUUAGCGUAGUUUGACGUCUUUUUUGAAAAAUAAAUUAGAAAUGCAUAUAUACAAUUACAACGCUUUACUCUCAGGUGCGAUCAUACCAGCACUAAUGCACCGGAUCCCAUCAGAACUCCGCAGUUAAGCGUGCUUGGGCGAGAGUAGUACUAGGAUGGGUGACCUCCUGGGAAGUCCUUGUGUUGCACCUCUUUUUGCCAAAAUUUCGUGUUCUUUUUGUUAAUUAGCGUAAUUUUACGUCGUUCCGUUAAUUUACGCUACCUAACACUCUAUUAGUUAAUUAAUUAGCGUAGUUUGACGUCUUUUUUGAAAAAUAAAUUAGAAAUGCAUAUAUACAAUUACAACGCUUUACUCUCAGGUGCGAUCAUACCAGCACUAAUGCACCGGAUCCCAUCAGAACUCCGCAGUUAAGCGUGCUUGGGCGAGAGUAGUACUAGGAUGGGUGACCUCCUGGGAAGUCCUUGUGUUGCACCUCUUUUUGCCAAAAUUUCGUGUUCUUUUUGUUAAUUAGCGUAAUUUUACGUCGUUCCGUUAAUUUACGCUACCUAACACUCUAUUAGUUAAUUAAUUAGCGUAGUUUGACGUCUUUUUUGAAAAAUAAAUUAGAAAUGCAUAUAUACAAUUACAACGCUUUACUCUCAGGUGCGAUCAUACCAGCACUAAUGCACCGGAUCCAUCAGAACUCCGCAGUUAAGCGUGCUUGGGCGAGAGUAGUACUAGGAUGGGUGACCUCCUGGGAAGUCCUUGUGUUGCACCUCUUUUUGCCAAAAUUUCGUGUUCUUUUUGUUAAUUAGCGUAAUUUUACGUCGUUCCGUUAAUUUACGCUACCUAACACUCUAUUAGUUAAUUAAUUAGCGUAGUUUGACGUCUUUUUUGAAAAAUAAAUUAGAAAUGCAUAUAUACAAUUACAACGCUUUACUCUCAGGUGCGAUCAUACCAGCACUAAUGCACCGGAUCCCAUCAGAACUCCGCAGUUAAGCGUGCUUGGGCGAGAGUAGUACUAGGAUGGGUGACCUCCUGGGAAGUCCUUGUGUUGCACCUCUUUUUGCCAAAAUUUCGUGUUCUUUUUGUUAAUUAGCGUAAUUUUACGUCGUUUUUGAAAAUAAACUUCGAUUGUAUUUCAUUUUUUCCGUUAAUUUACGCUACCUAACACUCUAUUAGUUAAUUAAUUAGCGUAGUUUGACGUCUUUUUUGAAAAAUAAAUUAGAAAUGCAUAUAUACAAUUACAACGCUUUACUCUCAGGUGCGAUCAUACCAGCACUAAUGCACCGGAUCCCAUCAGAACUCCGCAGUUAAGCGUGCUUGGGCGAGAGUAGUACUAGGAUGGGUGACCUCCUGGGAAGUCCUUGUGUUGCACCUCUUUUUGCCAAAAUUUCGUGUUCUUUUUGUUAAUUAGCGUAAUUUUACGUCGUUCCGUUAAUUUACGCUACCUAACACUCUAUUAGUUAAUUAAUUAGCGUAGUUUGACGUCUUUUUUGAAAAAUAAAUUAGAAAUGCAUAUAUACAAUUACAACGCUUUACUCUCAGGUGCGAUCAUACCAGCACUAAUGCACCGGAUCCCAUCAGAACUCCGCAGUUAAGCGUGCUUGGGCGAGAGUAGUACUAGGAUGGGUGACCUCCUGGGAAGUCCUUGUGUUGCACCUCUUUUUGCCAAAAUUUCGUGUUCUUUUUGUUAAUUAGCGUAAUUUUACGUCGUUCCGUUAAUUUACGCUACCUAACACUCUAUUAGUUAAUUAAUUAGCGUAGUUUGACGUCUUUUUUGAAAAAUAAAUUAGAAAUGCAUAUAUACAAUUACAACGCUUUACUCUCAGGUGCGAUCAUACCAGCACUAAUGCACCGGAUCCCAUCAGAACUCCGCAGUUAAGCGUGCUUGGGCGAGAGUAGUACUAGGAUGGGUGACCUCCUGGGAAGUCCUUGUGUUGCACCUCUUUUUGCCAAAAUUUCGUGUUCUUUUUGUUAAUUAGCGUAAUUUUACGUCGUUCCGUUAAUUUACGCUACCUAACACUCUAUUAGUUAAUUAAUUAGCGUAGUUUGACGUCUUUUUUGAAAAAUAAAUUAGAAAUGCAUAUAUACAAUUACAACGCUUUACUCUCAGGUGCGAUCAUACCAGCACUAAUGCACCGGAUCCCAUCAGAACUCCGCAGUUAAGCGUGCUUGGGCGAGAGUAGUACUAGGAUGGGUGACCUCCUGGGAAGUCCUUGUGUUGCACCUCUUUUUGCCAAAAUUUCGUGUUCUUUUUGUUAAUUAGCGUAAUUUUACGUCGUUUUUGAAAAUAAACUUCGAUUGUAUUUCAUUUUUCCGUUAAUUUACGCUACCUAACACUCUAUUAGUUAAUUAAUUAGCGUAGUUUGACGUCUUUUUUGAAAAAUAAAUUAGAAAUGCAUAUAUACAAUUACAACGCUUUACUCUCAGGUGCGAUCAUACCAGCACUAAUGCACCGGAUCCCAUCAGAACUCCGCAGUUAAGCGUGCUUGGGCGAGAGUAGUACUAGGAUGGGUGACCUCCUGGGAAGUCCUUGUGUUGCACCUCUUUUUGCCAAAAUUUCGUGUUCUUUUUGUUAAUUAGCGUAAUUUUACGUCGUUCCGUUAAUUUACGCUACCUAACACUCUAUUAGUUAAUUAAUUAGCGUAGUUUGACGUCUUUUUUGAAAAAUAAAUUAGAAAUGCAUAUAUACAAUUACAACGCUUUACUCUCAGGUGCGAUCAUACCAGCACUAAUGCACCGGAUCCCAUCAGAACUCCGCAGUUAAGCGUGCUUGGGCGAGAGUAGUACUAGGAUGGGUGACCUCCUGGGAAGUCCUUGUGUUGCACCUCUUUUUGCCAAAAUUUCGUGUUCUUUUUGUUAAUUAGCGUAAUUUUACGUCGUUCCGUUAAUUUACGCUACCUAACACUCUAUUAGUUAAUUAAUUAGCGUAGUUUGACGUCUUUUUUGAAAAAUAAAUUAGAAAUGCAUAUAUACAAUUACAACGCUUUACUCUCAGGUGCGAUCAUACCAGCACUAAUGCACCGGAUCCCAUCAGAACUCCGCAGUUAAGCGUGCUUGGGCGAGAGUAGUACUAGGAUGGGUGACCUCCUGGGAAGUCCUUGUGUUGCACCUCUUUUUGCCAAAAUUUCGUGUUCUUUUUGUUAAUUAGCGUAAUUUUACGUCGUUCCGUUAAUUUACGCUACCUAACACUCUAUUAGUUAAUUAAUUAGCGUAGUUUGACGUCUUUUUGAAAAAUAAAUUAGAAAUGCAUAUAUACAAUUACAACGCUUUACUCUCAGGUGCGAUCAUACCAGCACUAAUGCACCGGAUCCCAUCAGAACUCCGCAGUUAAGCGUGCUUGGGCGAGAGUAGUACUAGGAUGGGUGACCUCCUGGGAAGUCCUUGUGUUGCACCUCUUUUUGCCAAAAUUUCGUGUUCUUUUUGUUAAUUAGCGUAAUUUUACGUCGUUCCGUUAAUUUACGCUACCUAACACUCUAUUAGUUAAUUAAUUAGCGUAGUUUGACGUCUUUUUUGAAAAAUAAAUUAGAAAUGCAUAUAUACAAUUACAACGCUUUACUCUCAGGUGCGAUCAUACCAGCACUAAUGCACCGGAUCCCAUCAGAACUCCGCAGUUAAGCGUGCUUGGGCGAGAGUAGUACUAGGAUGGGUGACCUCCUGGGAAGUCCUUGUGUUGCACCUCUUUUUGCCAAAAUUUCGUGUUCUUUUUGUUAAUUAGCGUAAUUUUACGUCGUUUUUGAAAAAUAAACUUCGAUUGUAUUUCAUUUUUUCCGUUAAUUUACGCUACCUAACACUCUAUUAGUUAAUUAAUUAGCGUAGUUUGACGUCUUUUUUGAAAAAUAAAUUAGAAAUGCAUAUAUACAAUUACAACGCUUUACUCUCAGGUGCGAUCAUACCAGCACUAAUGCACCGGAUCCCAUCAGAACUCCGCAGUUAAGCGUGCUUGGGCGAGAGUAGUACUAGGAUGGGUGACCUCCUGGGAAGUCCUUGUGUUGCACCUCUUUUUGCCAAAAUUUCGUGUUCUUUUUGUUAAUUAGCGUAAUUUUACGUCGUUCCGUUAAUUUACGCUACCUAACACUCUAUUAGUUAAUUAAUUAGCGUAGUUUGACGUCUUUUUUGAAAAAUAAAUUAGAAAUGCAUAUAUACAAUUACAACGCUUUACUCUCAGGUGCGAUCAUACCAGCACUAAUGCACCGGAUCCCAUCAGAACUCCGCAGUUAAGCGUGCUUGGGCGAGAGUAGUACUAGGAUGGGUGACCUCCUGGGAAGUCCUUGUGUUGCACCUCUUUUUGCCAAAAUUUCGUGUUCUUUUUGUUAAUUAGCGUAAUUUUACGUCGUUCCGUUAAUUUACGCUACCUAACACUCUAUUAGUUAAUUAAUUAGCGUAGUUUGACGUCUUUUUUGAAAAAUAAAUUAGAAAUGCAUAUAUACAAUUACAACGCUUUACUCUCAGGUGCGAUCAUACCAGCACUAAUGCACCGGAUCCCAUCAGAACUCCGCAGUUAAGCGUGCUUGGGCGAGAGUAGUACUAGGAUGGGUGACCUCCUGGGAAGUCCUUGUGUUGCACCUCUUUUUGCCAAAAUUUCGUGUUCUUUUUGUUAAUUAGCGUAAUUUUACGUCGUUCCGUUAAUUUACGCUACCUAACACUCUAUUAGUUAAUUAAUUAGCGUAGUUUGACGUCUUUUUUGAAAAAUAAAUUAGAAAUGCAUAUAUACAAUUACAACGCUUUACUCUCAGGUGCGAUCAUACCAGCACUAAUGCACCGGAUCCCAUCAGAACUCCGCAGUUAAGCGUGCUUGGGCGAGAGUAGUACUAGGAUGGGUGACCUCCUGGGAAGUCCUUGUGUUGCACCUCUUUUUGCCAAAAUUUCGUGUUCUUUUUGUUAAUUAGCGUAAUUUUACGUCGUUCCGUUAAUUUACGCUACCUAACACUCUAUUAGUUAAUUAAUUAGCGUAGUUUGACGUCUUUUUUGAAAAAUAAAUUAGAAAUGCAUAUAUACAAUUACAACGCUUUACUCUCAGGUGCGAUCAUACCAGCACUAAUGCACCGGAUCCCAUCAGAACUCCGCAGUUAAGCGUGCUUGGGCGAGAGUAGUACUAGGAUGGGUGACCUCCUGGGAAGUCCUUGUGUUGCACCUCUUUUUGCCAAAAUUUCGUGUUCUUUUUGUUAAUUAGCGUAAUUUUACGUCGUUUUUGAAAAUAAACUUCGAUUGUAUUUCAUUUUUUCCGUUAAUUUACGCUACCUAACACUCUAUUAGUUAAUUAAUUAGCGUAGUUUGACGUCUUUUUUGAAAAAUAAAUUAGAAAUGCAUAUAUACAAUUACAACGCUUUACUCUCAGGUGCGAUCAUACCAGCACUAAUGCACCGGAUCCCAUCAGAACUCCGCAGUUAAGCGUGCUUGGGCGAGAGUAGUACUAGGAUGGGUGACCUCCUGGGAAGUCCUUGUGUUGCACCUCUUUUUGCCAAAAUUUCGUGUUCUUUUUGUUAAUUAGCGUAAUUUUACGUCGUUCCGUUAAUUUACGCUACCUAACACUCUAUUAGUUAAUUAAUUAGCGUAGUUUGACGUCUUUUUUGAAAAAUAAAUUAGAAAUGCAUAUAUACAAUUACAACGCUUUACUCUCAGGUGCGAUCAUACAGCACUAAUGCACCGGAUCCCAUCAGAACUCCGCAGUUAAGCGUGCUUGGGCGAGAGUAGUACUAGGAUGGGUGACCUCCUGGGAAGUCCUUGUGUUGCACCUCUUUUUGCCAAAAUUUCGUGUUCUUUUUGUUAAUUAGCGUAAUUUUACGUCGUUCCGUUAAUUUACGCUACCUAACACUCUAUUAGUUAAUUAAUUAGCGUAGUUUGACGUCUUUUUUGAAAAAUAAAUUAGAAAUGCAUAUAUACAAUUACAACGCUUUACUCUCAGGUGCGAUCAUACCAGCACUAAUGCACCGGAUCCCAUCAGAACUCCGCAGUUAAGCGUGCUUGGGCGAGAGUAGUACUAGGAUGGGUGACCUCCUGGGAAGUCCUUGUGUUGCACCUCUUUUUGCCAAAAUUUCGUGUUCUUUUUGUUAAUUAGCGUAAUUUUACGUCGUUCCGUUAAUUUACGCUACCUAACACUCUAUUAGUUAAUUAAUUAGCGUAGUUUGACGUCUUUUUUGAAAAAUAAAUUAGAAAUGCAUAUAUACAAUUACAACGCUUUACUCUCAGGUGCGAUCAUACCAGCACUAAUGCACCGGAUCCCAUCAGAACUCCGCAGUUAAGCGUGCUUGGGCGAGAGUAGUACUAGGAUGGGUGACCUCCUGGGAAGUCCUUGUGUUGCACCUCUUUUUGCCAAAAUUUCGUGUUCUUUUUGUUAAUUAGCGUAAUUUUACGUCGUUCCGUUAAUUUACGCUACCUAACACUCUAUUAGUUAAUUAAUUAGCGUAGUUUGACGUCUUUUUUGAAAAAUAAAUUAGAAAUGCAUAUAUACAAUUACAACGCUUUACUCUCAGGUGCGAUCAUACCAGCACUAAUGCACCGGAUCCCAUCAGAACUCCGCAGUUAAGCGUGCUUGGGCGAGAGUAGUACUAGGAUGGGUGACCUCCUGGGAAGUCCUUGUGUUGCACCUCUUUUUGCCAAAAUUUCGUGUUCUUUUUGUUAAUUAGCGUAAUUUUACGUCGUUUUGAAAAUAAACUUCGAUUGUAUUUCAUUUUUUCCGUUAAUUUACGCUACCUAACACUCUAUUAGUUAAUUAAUUAGCGUAGUUUGACGUCUUUUUUGAAAAAUAAAUUAGAAAUGCAUAUAUACAAUUACAACGCUUUACUCUCAGGUGCGAUCAUACCAGCACUAAUGCACCGGAUCCCAUCAGAACUCCGCAGUUAAGCGUGCUUGGGCGAGAGUAGUACUAGGAUGGGUGACCUCCUGGGAAGUCCUUGUGUUGCACCUCUUUUUGCCAAAAUUUCGUGUUCUUUUUGUUAAUUAGCGUAAUUUUACGUCGUUCCGUUAAUUUACGCUACCUAACACUCUAUUAGUUAAUUAAUUAGCGUAGUUUGACGUCUUUUUUGAAAAAUAAAUUAGAAAUGCAUAUAUACAAUUACAACGCUUUACUCUCAGGUGCGAUCAUACCAGCACUAAUGCACCGGAUCCCAUCAGAACUCCGCAGUUAAGCGUGCUUGGGCGAGAGUAGUACUAGGAUGGGUGACCUCCUGGGAAGUCCUUGUGUUGCACCUCUUUUUGCCAAAAUUUCGUGUUCUUUUUGUUAAUUAGCGUAAUUUUACGUCGUUCCGUUAAUUUACGCUACCUAACACUCUAUUAGUUAAUUAAUUAGCGUAGUUUGACGUCUUUUUUGAAAAAUAAAUUAGAAAUGCAUAUAUACAAUUACAACGCUUUACUCUCAGGUGCGAUCAUACCAGCACUAAUGCACCGGAUCCCAUCAGAACUCCGCAGUUAAGCGUGCUUGGGCGAGAGUAGUACUAGGAUGGGUGACCUCCUGGGAAGUCCUUGUGUUGCACCUCUUUUUGCCAAAAUUUCGUGUUCUUUUUGUUAAUUAGCGUAAUUUUACGUCGUUCCGUUAAUUUACGCUACCUAACACUCUAUUAGUUAAUUAAUUAGCGUAGUUUGACGUCUUUUUGAAAAAUAAAUUAGAAAUGCAUAUAUACAAUUACAACGCUUUACUCUCAGGUGCGAUCAUACCAGCACUAAUGCACCGGAUCCAUCAGAACUCCGCAGUUAAGCGUGCUUGGGCGAGAGUAGUACUAGGAUGGGUGACCUCCUGGGAAGUCCUUGUGUUGCACCUCUUUUUGCCAAAAUUUCGUGUUCUUUUUGUUAAUUAGCGUAAUUUUACGUCGUUUUUGAAAAUAAACUUCGAUUGUAUUUCAUUUUUUCCGUUAAUUUACGCUACCUAACACUCUAUUAGUUAAUUAAUUAGCGUAGUUUGACGUCUUUUUUGAAAAAUAAAUUAGAAAUGCAUAUAUACAAUUACAACGCUUUACUCUCAGGUGCGAUCAUACCAGCACUAAUGCACCGGAUCCCAUCAGAACUCCGCAGUUAAGCGUGCUUGGGCGAGAGUAGUACUAGGAUGGGUGACCUCCUGGGAAGUCCUUGUGUUGCACCUCUUUUUGCCAAAAUUUCGUGUUCUUUUUGUUAAUUAGCGUAAUUUUACGUCGUUCCGUUAAUUUACGCUACCUAACACUCUAUUAGUUAAUUAAUUAGCGUAGUUUGACGUCUUUUUUGAAAAAUAAAUUAGAAAUGCAUAUAUACAAUUACAACGCUUUACUCUCAGGUGCGAUCAUACCAGCACUAAUGCACCGGAUCCCAUCAGAACUCCGCAGUUAAGCGUGCUUGGGCGAGAGUAGUACUAGGAUGGGUGACCUCCUGGGAAGUCCUUGUGUUGCACCUCUUUUUGCCAAAAUUUCGUGUUCUUUUUGUUAAUUAGCGUAAUUUUACGUCGUUCCGUUAAUUUACGCUACCUAACACUCUAUUAGUUAAUUAAUUAGCGUAGUUUGACGUCUUUUUUGAAAAAUAAAUUAGAAAUGCAUAUAUACAAUUACAACGCUUUACUCUCAGGUGCGAUCAUACCAGCACUAAUGCACCGGAUCCAUCAGAACUCCGCAGUUAAGCGUGCUUGGGCGAGAGUAGUACUAGGAUGGGUGACCUCCUGGGAAGUCCUUGUGUUGCACCUCUUUUUGCCAAAAUUUCGUGUUCUUUUUGUUAAUUAGCGUAAUUUUACGUCGUUCCGUUAAUUUACGCUACCUAACACUCUAUUAGUUAAUUAAUUAGCGUAGUUUGACGUCUUUUUUGAAAAAUAAAUUAGAAAUGCAUAUAUACAAUUACAACGCUUUACUCUCAGGUGCGAUCAUACCAGCACUAAUGCACCGGAUCCCAUCAGAACUCCGCAGUUAAGCGUGCUUGGGCGAGAGUAGUACUAGGAUGGGUGACCUCCUGGGAAGUCCUUGUGUUGCACCUCUUUUUGCCAAAAUUUCGUGUUCUUUUUGUUAAUUAGCGUAAUUUUACGUCGUUCCGUUAAUUUACGCUACCUAACACUCUAUUAGUUAAUUAAUUAGCGUAGUUUGACGUCUUUUUUGAAAAAUAAAUUAGAAAUGCAUAUAUACAAUUACAACGCUUUACUCUCAGGUGCGAUCAUACCAGCACUAAUGCACCGGAUCCCAUCAGAACUCCGCAGUUAAGCGUGCUUGGGCGAGAGUAGUACUAGGAUGGGUGACCUCCUGGGAAGUCCUUGUGUUGCACCUCUUUUUGCCAAAAUUUCGUGUUCUUUUUGUUAAUUAGCGUAAUUUUACGUCGUUUUUGAAAAAUAAACUUCGAUUGUAUUUCAUUUUUUCCGUUAAUUUACGCUACCUAACACUCUAUUAGUUAAUUAAUUAGCGUAGUUUGACGUCUUUUUUGAAAAAUAAAUUAGAAAUGCAUAUAUACAAUUACAACGCUUUACUCUCAGGUGCGAUCAUACCAGCACUAAUGCACCGGAUCCCAUCAGAACUCCGCAGUUAAGCGUGCUUGGGCGAGAGUAGUACUAGGAUGGGUGACCUCCUGGGAAGUCCUUGUGUUGCACCUCUUUUUGCCAAAAUUUCGUGUUCUUUUUGUUAAUUAGCGUAAUUUUACGUCGUUCCGUUAAUUUACGCUACCUAACACUCUAUUAGUUAAUUAAUUAGCGUAGUUUGACGUCUUUUUUGAAAAAUAAAUUAGAAAUGCAUAUAUACAAUUACAACGCUUUACUCUCAGGUGCGAUCAUACCAGCACUAAUGCACCGGAUCCCAUCAGAACUCCGCAGUUAAGCGUGCUUGGGCGAGAGUAGUACUAGGAUGGGUGACCUCCUGGGAAGUCCUUGUGUUGCACCUCUUUUUGCCAAAAUUUCGUGUUCUUUUUGUUAAUUAGCGUAAUUUUACGUCGUUCCGUUAAUUUACGCUACCUAACACUCUAUUAGUUAAUUAAUUAGCGUAGUUUGACGUCUUUUUUGAAAAAUAAAUUAGAAAUGCAUAUAUACAAUUACAACGCUUUACUCUCAGGUGCGAUCAUACCAGCACUAAUGCACCGGAUCCCAUCAGAACUCCGCAGUUAAGCGUGCUUGGGCGAGAGUAGUACUAGGAUGGGUGACCUCCUGGGAAGUCCUUGUGUUGCACCUCUUUUUGCCAAAAUUUCGUGUUCUUUUUGUUAAUUAGCGUAAUUUUACGUCGUUCCGUUAAUUUACGCUACCUAACACUCUAUUAGUUAAUUAAUUAGCGUAGUUUGACGUCUUUUUUGAAAAAUAAAUUAGAAAUGCAUAUAUACAAUUACAACGCUUUACUCUCAGGUGCGAUCAUACCAGCACUAAUGCACCGGAUCCCAUCAGAACUCCGCAGUUAAGCGUGCUUGGGCGAGAGUAGUACUAGGAUGGGUGACCUCCUGGGAAGUCCUUGUGUUGCACCUCUUUUUGCCAAAAUUUCGUGUUCUUUUUGUUAAUUAGCGUAAUUUUACGUCGUUUUUGAAAAAUAAACUUCGAUUGUAUUUCAUUUUUUCCGUUAAUUUACGCUACCUAACACUCUAUUAGUUAAUUAAUUAGCGUAGUUUGACGUCUUUUUUGAAAAAUAAAUUAGAAAUGCAUAUAUACAAUUACAACGCUUUACUCUCAGGUGCGAUCAUACCAGCACUAAUGCACCGGAUCCCAUCAGAACUCCGCAGUUAAGCGUGCUUGGGCGAGAGUAGUACUAGGAUGGGUGACCUCCUGGGAAGUCCUUGUGUUGCACCUCUUUUUGCCAAAAUUUCUUGUUCUUUUUGUUAAUUAGCGUAAUUUUACGUCGUUUUUGAAAAAUAAACUUCAAUUGUAUUUCAUUUUUUCCGUUAAUUUACGCUACCUAACACUCUAUUAGUUAAUUAAUUAGCGUAGUUUGACGUCUUUUUUGAAAAAUAAAUUAGAAAUGCAUAUAUACAAUUACAACGCUUUACUCUCAGGUGCGAUCAUACCAGCACUAAUGCACCGGAUCCCAUCAGAACUCCGCAGUUAAGCGUGCUUGGGCGAGAGUAGUACUAGGAUGGGUGACCUCCUGGGAAGUCCUUGUGUUGCACCUCUUUUUGCCAAAAUUUCGUGUUCUUUUUGUUAAUUAGCGUAAUUUUACGUCGUUCCGUUAAUUUACGCUACCUAACACUCUAUUAGUUAAUUAAUUAGCGUAGUUUGACGUCUUUUUUGAAAAAUAAAUUAGAAAUGCAUAUAUACAAUUACAACGCUUUACUCUCAGGUGCGAUCAUACCAGCACUAAUGCACCGGAUCCCAUCAGAACUCCGCAGUUAAGCGUGCUUGGGCGAGAGUAGUACUAGGAUGGGUGACCUCCUGGGAAGUCCUUGUGUUGCACCUCUUUUUGCCAAAAUUUCGUGUUCUUUUUGUUAAUUAGCGUAAUUUUACGUCGUUCCGUUAAUUUACGCUACCUAACACUCUAUUAGUUAAUUAAUUAGCGUAGUUUGACGUCUUUUUUGAAAAAUAAAUUAGAAAUGCAUAUAUACAAUUACAACGCUUUACUCUCAGGUGCGAUCAUACCAGCACUAAUGCACCGGAUCCCAUCAGAACUCCGCAGUUAAGCGUGCUUGGGCGAGAGUAGUACUAGGAUGGGUGACCUCCUGGGAAGUCCUUGUGUUGCACCUCUUUUUGCCAAAAUUUCGUGUUCUUUUUGUUAAUUAGCGUAAUUUUACGUCGUUUUUGAAAAUAAACUUCGAUUGUAUUUCAUUUUUUCCGUUAAUUUACGCUACCUAACACUCUAUUAGUUAAUUAAUUAGCGUAGUUUGACGUCUUUUUUGAAAAAUAAAUUAGAAAUGCAUAUAUACAAUUACAACGCUUUACUCUCAGGUGCGAUCAUACCAGCACUAAUGCACCGGAUCCCAUCAGAACUCCGCAGUUAAGCGUGCUUGGGCGAGAGUAGUACUAGGAUGGGUGACCUCCUGGGAAGUCCUUGUGUUGCACCUCUUUUUGCCAAAAUUUCGUGUUCUUUUUGUUAAUUAGCGUAAUUUUACGUCGUUUUUGAAAAUAAACUUCGAUUGUAUUUCAUUUUUUCCGUUAAUUUACGCUACCUAACACUCUAUUAGUUAAUUAAUUAGCGUAGUUUGACGUCUUUUUUGAAAAAUAAAUUAGAAAUGCAUAUAUACAAUUACAACGCUUUACUCUCAGGUGCGAUCAUACCAGCACUAAUGCACCGGAUCCCAUCAGAACUCCGCAGUUAAGCGUGCUUGGGCGAGAGUAGUACUAGGAUGGGUGACCUCCUGGGAAGUCCUUGUGUUGCACCUCUUUUUGCCAAAAUUUCGUGUUCUUUUUGUUAAUUAGCGUAAUUUUACGUCGUUCCGUUAAUUUACGCUACCUAACACUCUAUUAGUUAAUUAAUUAGCGUAGUUUGACGUCUUUUUUGAAAAAUAAAUUAGAAAUGCAUAUAUACAAUUACAACGCUUUACUCUCAGGUGCGAUCAUACCAGCACUAAUGCACCGGAUCCCAUCAGAACUCCGCAGUUAAGCGUGCUUGGGCGAGAGUAGUACUAGGAUGGGUGACCUCCUGGGAAGUCCUUGUGUUGCACCUCUUUUUGCCAAAAUUUCGUGUUCUUUUUGUUAAUUAGCGUAAUUUUACGUCGUUCCGUUAAUUUACGCUACCUAACACUCUAUUAGUUAAUUAAUUAGCGUAGUUUGACGUCUUUUUUGAAAAAUAAAUUAGAAAUGCAUAUAUACAAUUACAACGCUUUACUCUCAGGUGCGAUCAUACCAGCACUAAUGCACCGGAUCCCAUCAGAACUCCGCAGUUAAGCGUGCUUGGGCGAGAGUAGUACUAGGAUGGGUGACCUCUUGUGUUGCACCUCUUUUUGCCAAAAUUUCGUGUUCUUUUUGUUAAUUAGCGUAAUUUUACGUCGUUCCGUUAAUUUACGCUACCUAACACUCUAUUAGUUAAUUAAUUAGCGUAGUUUGACGUCUUUUUUGAAAAAUAAAUUAGAAAUGCAUAUAUACAAUUACAACGCUUUACUCUCAGGUGCGAUCAUACCAGCACUAAUGCACCGGAUCCCAUCAGAACUCCGCAGUUAAGCGUGCUUGGGCGAGAGUAGUACUAGGAUGGGUGACCUCCUGGGAAGUCCUUGUGUUGCACCUCUUUUUGCCAAAAUUUCGUGUUCUUUUUGUUAAUUAGCGUAAUUUUACGUCGUUCCGUUAAUUUACGCUACCUAACACUCUAUUAGUUAAUUAAUUAGCGUAGUUUGACGUCUUUUUUGAAAAAUAAAUUAGAAAUGCAUAUAUACAAUUACAACGCUUUACUCUCAGGUGCGAUCAUACCAGCACUAAUGCACCGGAUCCCAUCAGAACUCCGCAGUUAAGCGUGCUUGGGCGAGAGUAGUACUAGGAUGGGUGACCUCCUGGGAAGUCCUUGUGUUGCACCUCUUUUUGCCAAAAUUUCGUGUUCUUUUUGUUAAUUAGCGUAAUUUUACGUCGUUCCGUUAAUUUACGCUACCUAACACUCUAUUAGUUAAUUAAUUAGCGUAGUUUGACGUCUUUUUUGAAAAAUAAAUUAGAAAUGCAUAUAUACAAUUACAACGCUUUACUCUCAGGUGCGAUCAUACCAGCACUAAUGCACCGGAUCCCAUCAGAACUCCGCAGUUAAGCGUGCUUGGGCGAGAGUAGUACUAGGAUGGGUGACCUCCUGGGAAGUCCUUGUGUUGCACCUCUUUUUGCCAAAAUUUCGUGUUCUUUUUGUUAAUUAGCGUAAUUUUACGUCGUUCCGUUAAUUUACGCUACCUAACACUCUAUUAGUUAAUUAAUUAGCGUAGUUUGACGUCUUUUUUGAAAAAUAAAUUAGAAAUGCAUAUAUACAAUUACAACGCUUUACUCUCAGGUGCGAUCAUACCAGCACUAAUGCACCGGAUCCCAUCAGAACUCCGCAGUUAAGCGUGCUUGGGCGAGAGUAGUACUAGGAUGGGUGACCUCCUGGGAAGUCCUUGUGUUGCACCUCUUUUUGCCAAAAUUUCGUGUUCUUUUUGUUAAUUAGCGUAAUUUUACGUCGUUCCGUUAAUUUACGCUACCUAACACUCUAUUAGUUAAUUAAUUAGCGUAGUUUGACGUCUUUUUUGAAAAAUAAAUUAGAAAUGCAUAUAUACAAUUACAACGCUUUACUCUCAGGUGCGAUCAUACCAGCACUAAUGCACCGGAUCCCAUCAGAACUCCGCAGUUAAGCGUGCUUGGGCGAGAGUAGUACUAGGAUGGGUGACCUCCUGGGAAGUCCUUGUGUUGCACCUCUUUUUGCCAAAAUUUCGUGUUCUUUUUGUUAAUUAGCGUAAUUUUACGUCGUUCCGUUAAUUUACGCUACCUAACACUCUAUUAGUUAAUUAAUUAGCGUAGUUUGACGUCUUUUUUGAAAAAUAAAUUAGAAAUGCAUAUAUACAAUUACAACGCUUUACUCUCAGGUGCGAUCAUACCAGCACUAAUGCACCGGAUCCCAUCAGAACUCCGCAGUUAAGCGUGCUUGGGCGAGAGUAGUACUAGGAUGGGUGACCUCCUGGGAAGUCCUUGUGUUGCACCUCUUUUUGCCAAAAUUUCGUGUUCUUUUUGUUAAUUAGCGUAAUUUUACGUCGUUCCGUUAAUUUACGCUACCUAACACUCUAUUAGUUAAUUAAUUAGCGUAGUUUGACGUCUUUUUUGAAAAAUAAAUUAGAAAUGCAUAUAUACAAUUACAACGCUUUACUCUCAGGUGCGAUCAUACCAGCACUAAUGCACCGGAUCCCAUCAGAACUCCGCAGUUAAGCGUGCUUGGGCGAGAGUAGUACUAGGAUGGGUGACCUCCUGGGAAGUCCUUGUGUUGCACCUCUUUUUGCCAAAAUUUCGUGUUCUUUUUGUUAAUUAGCGUAAUUUUACGUCGUUCCGUUAAUUUACGCUACCUAACACUCUAUUAGUUAAUUAAUUAGCGUAGUUUGACGUCUUUUUUGAAAAAUAAAUUAGAAAUGCAUAUAUACAAUUACAACGCUUUACUCUCAGGUGCGAUCAUACCAGCACUAAUGCACCGGAUCCCAUCAGAACUCCGCAGUUAAGCGUGCUUGGGCGAGAGUAGUACUAGGAUGGGUGACCUCCUGGGAAGUCCUUGUGUUGCACCUCUUUUUGCCAAAAUUUCGUGUUCUUUUUGUUAAUUAGCGUAAUUUUACGUCGUUCCGUUAAUUUACGCUACCUAACACUCUAUUAGUUAAUUAAUUAGCGUAGUUUGACGUCUUUUUUGAAAAAUAAAUUAGAAAUGCAUAUAUACAAUUACAACGCUUUACUCUCAGGUGCGAUCAUACCAGCACUAAUGCACCGGAUCCCAUCAGAACUCCGCAGUUAAGCGUGCUUGGGCGAGAGUAGUACUAGGAUGGGUGACCUCUUGUGUUGCACCUCUUUUUGCCAAAAUUUCGUGUUCUUUUGUUAAUUAGCGUAAUUUUACGUCGUUCCGUUAAUUUACGCUACCUAACACUCUAUUAGUUAAUUAAUUAGCGUAGUUUGACGUCUUUUUUGAAAAAUAAAUUAGAAAUGCAUAUAUACAAUUACAACGCUUUACUCUCAGGUGCGAUCAUACCAGCACUAAUGCACCGGAUCCCAUCAGAACUCCGCAGUUAAGCGUGCUUGGGCGAGAGUAGUACUAGGAUGGGUGACCUCCUGGGAAGUCCUUGUGUUGCACCUCUUUUUGCCAAAAUUUCGUGUUCUUUUUGUUAAUUAGCGUAAUUUUACGUCGUUCCGUUAAUUUACGCUACCUAACACUCUAUUAGUUAAUUAAUUAGCGUAGUUUGACGUCUUUUUUGAAAAAUAAAUUAGAAAUGCAUAUAUACAAUUACAACGCUUUACUCUCAGGUGCGAUCAUACCAGCACUAAUGCACCGGAUCCCAUCAGAACUCCGCAGUUAAGCGUGCUUGGGCGAGAGUAGUACUAGGAUGGGUGACCUCCUGGGAAGUCCUUGUGUUGCACCUCUUUUUGCCAAAAUUUCGUGUUCUUUUUGUUAAUUAGCGUAAUUUUACGUCGUUCCGUUAAUUUACGCUACCUAACACUCUAUUAGUUAAUUAAUUAGCGUAGUUUGACGUCUUUUUUGAAAAAUAAAUUAGAAAUGCAUAUAUACAAUUACAACGCUUUACUCUCAGGUGCGAUCAUACCAGCACUAAUGCACCGGAUCCCAUCAGAACUCCGCAGUUAAGCGUGCUUGGGCGAGAGUAGUACUAGGAUGGGUGACCUCCUGGGAAGUCCUUGUGUUGCACCUCUUUUUGCCAAAAUUUCGUGUUCUUUUUGUUAAUUAGCGUAAUUUUACGUCGUUCCGUUAAUUUACGCUACCUAACACUCUAUUAGUUAAUUAAUUAGCGUAGUUUGACGUCUUUUUUGAAAAAUAAAUUAGAAAUGCAUAUAUACAAUUACAACGCUUUACUCUCAGGUGCGAUCAUACCAGCACUAAUGCACCGGAUCCCAUCAGAACUCCGCAGUUAAGCGUGCUUGGGCGAGAGUAGUACUAGGAUGGGUGACCUCCUGGGAAGUCCUUGUGUUGCACCUCUUUUUGCCAAAAUUUCGUGUUCUUUUUGUUAAUUAGCGUAAUUUUACGUCGUUCCGUUAAUUUACGCUACCUAACACUCUAUUAGUUAAUUAAUUAGCGUAGUUUGACGUCUUUUUUGAAAAAUAAAUUAGAAAUGCAUAUAUACAAUUACAACGCUUUACUCUCAGGUGCGAUCAUACCAGCACUAAUGCACCGGAUCCCAUCAGAACUCCGCAGUUAAGCGUGCUUGGGCGAGAGUAGUACUAGGAUGGGUGACCUCCUGGGAAGUCCUUGUGUUGCACCUCUUUUUGCCAAAAUUUCGUGUUCUUUUUGUUAAUUAGCGUAAUUUUACGUCGUUCCGUUAAUUUACGCUACCUAACACUCUAUUAGUUAAUUAAUUAGCGUAGUUUGACGUCUUUUUGAAAAAUAAAUUAGAAAUGCAUAUAUACAAUUACAACGCUUUACUCUCAGGUGCGAUCAUACCAGCACUAAUGCACCGGAUCCCAUCAGAACUCCGCAGUUAAGCGUGCUUGGGCGAGAGUAGUACUAGGAUGGGUGACCUCCUGGGAAGUCCUUGUGUUGCACCUCUUUUGCCAAAAUUUCGUGUUCUUUUUGUUAAUUAGCGUAAUUUUACGUCGUUCCGUUAAUUUACGCUACCUAACACUCUAUUAGUUAAUUAAUUAGCGUAGUUUGACGUCUUUUUUGAAAAAUAAAUUAGAAAUGCAUAUAUACAAUUACAACGCUUUACUCUCAGGUGCGAUCAUACCAGCACUAAUGCACCGGAUCCCAUCAGAACUCCGCAGUUAAGCGUGCUUGGGCGAGAGUAGUACUAGGAUGGGUGACCUCCUGGGAAGUCCUUGUGUUGCACCUCUUUUUGCCAAAAUUUCGUGUUCUUUUUGUUAAUUAGCGUAAUUUUACGUCGUUCCGUUAAUUUACGCUACCUAACACUCUAUUAGUUAAUUAAUUAGCGUAGUUUGACGUCUUUUUUGAAAAAUAAAUUAGAAAUGCAUAUAUACAAUUACAACGCUUUACUCUCAGGUGCGAUCAUACCAGCACUAAUGCACCGGAUCCCAUCAGAACUCCGCAGUUAAGCGUGCUUGGGCGAGAGUAGUACUAGGAUGGGUGACCUCCUGGGAAGUCCUUGUGUUGCACCUCUUUUUGCCAAAAUUUCGUGUUCUUUUUGUUAAUUAGCGUAAUUUUACGUCGUUCCGUUAAUUUACGCUACCUAACACUCUAUUAGUUAAUUAAUUAGCGUAGUUUGACGUCUUUUUUGAAAAAUAAAUUAGAAAUGCAUAUAUACAAUUACAACGCUUUACUCUCAGGUGCGAUCAUACCAGCACUAAUGCACCGGAUCCCAUCAGAACUCCGCAGUUAAGCGUGCUUGGGCGAGAGUAGUACUAGGAUGGGUGACCUCCUGGGAAGUCCUUGUGUUGCACCUCUUUUUGCCAAAAUUUCGUGUUCUUUUUGUUAAUUAGCGUAAUUUUACGUCGUUCCGUUAAUUUACGCUACCUAACACUCUAUUAGUUAAUUAAUUAGCGUAGUUUGACGUCUUUUUUGAAAAAUAAAUUAGAAAUGCAUAUAUACAAUUACAACGCUUUACUCUCAGGUGCGAUCAUACCAGCACUAAUGCACCGGAUCCCAUCAGAACUCCGCAGUUAAGCGUGCUUGGGCGAGAGUAGUACUAGGAUGGGUGACCUCCUGGGAAGUCCUUGUGUUGCACCUCUUUUUGCCAAAAUUUCGUGUUCUUUUUGUUAAUUAGCGUAAUUUUACGUCGUUCCGUUAAUUUACGCUACCUAACACUCUAUUAGUUAAUUAAUUAGCGUAGUUUGACGUCUUUUUUGAAAAAUAAAUUAGAAAUGCAUAUAUACAAUUACAACGCUUUACUCUCAGGUGCGAUCAUACCAGCACUAAUGCACCGGAUCCCAUCAGAACUCCGCAGUUAAGCGUGCUUGGGCGAGAGUAGUACUAGGAUGGGUGACCUCCUGGGAAGUCCUUGUGUUGCACCUCUUUUUGCCAAAAUUUCGUGUUCUUUUUGUUAAUUAGCGUAAUUUUACGUCGUUCCGUUAAUUUACGCUACCUAACACUCUAUUAGUUAAUUAAUUAGCGUAGUUUGACGUCUUUUUUGAAAAAUAAAUUAGAAAUGCAUAUAUACAAUUACAACGCUUUACUCUCAGGUGCGAUCAUACCAGCACUAAUGCACCGGAUCCCAUCAGAACUCCGCAGUUAAGCGUGCUUGGGCGAGAGUAGUACUAGGAUGGGUGACCUCCUGGGAAGUCCUUGUGUUGCACCUCUUUUUGCCAAAAUUUCGUGUUCUUUUUGUUAAUUAGCGUAAUUUUACGUCGUUCCGUUAAUUUACGCUACCUAACACUCUAUUAGUUAAUUAAUUAGCGUAGUUUGACGUCUUUUUUGAAAAAUAAAUUAGAAAUGCAUAUAUACAAUUACAACGCUUUACUCUCAGGUGCGAUCAUACCAGCACUAAUGCACCGGAUCCCAUCAGAACUCCGCAGUUAAGCGUGCUUGGGCGAGAGUAGUACUAGGAUGGGUGACCUCCUGGGAAGUCCUUGUGUUGCACCUCUUUUUGCCAAAAUUUCGUGUUCUUUUUGUUAAUUAGCGUAAUUUUACGUCGUUUUUGAAAAAUAAACUUCGAUUGUAUUUCAUUUUUUCCGUUAAUUUACGCUACCUAACACUCUAUUAGUUAAUUAAUUAGCGUAGUUUGACGUCUUUUUUGAAAAAUAAAUUAGAAAUGCAUAUAUACAAUUACAACGCUUUACUCUCAGGUGCGAUCAUACCAGCACUAAUGCACCGGAUCCCAUCAGAACUCCGCAGUUAAGCGUGCUUGGGCGAGAGUAGUACUAGGAUGGGUGACCUCCUGGGAAGUCCUUGUGUUGCACCUCUUUUUGCCAAAAUUUCGUGUUCUUUUUGUUAAUUAGCGUAAUUUUACGUCGUUUUUGAAAAAUAAACUUCGAUUGUAUUUCAUUUUUUCCGUUAAUUUACGCUACCUAACACUCUAUUAGUUAAUUAAUUAGCGUAGUUUGACGUCUUUUUUGAAAAAUAAAUUAGAAAUGCAUAUAUACAAUUACAACGCUUUACUCUCAGGUGCGAUCAUACCAGCACUAAUGCACCGGAUCCCAUCAGAACUCCGCAGUUAAGCGUGCUUGGGCGAGAGUAGUACUAGGAUGGGUGACCUCCUGGGAAGUCCUUGUGUUGCACCUCUUUUUGCCAAAAUUUCGUGUUCUUUUUGUUAAUUAGCGUAAUUUUACGUCGUUCCGUUAAUUUACGCUACCUAACACUCUAUUAGUUAAUUAAUUAGCGUAGUUUGACGUCUUUUUUGAAAAAUAAAUUAGAAAUGCAUAUAUACAAUUACAACGCUUUACUCUCAGGUGCGAUCAUACCAGCACUAAUGCACCGGAUCCCAUCAGAACUCCGCAGUUAAGCGUGCUUGGGCGAGAGUAGUACUAGGAUGGGUGACCUCCUGGGAAGUCCUUGUGUUGCACCUCUUUUUGCCAAAAUUUCGUGUUCUUUUUGUUAAUUAGCGUAAUUUACGUCGUUCCGUUAAUUUACGCUACCUAACACUCUAUUAGUUAAUUAAUUAGCGUAGUUUGACGUCUUUUUUGAAAAAUAAAUUAGAAAUGCAUAUAUACAAUUACAACGCUUUACUCUCAGGUGCGAUCAUACCAGCACUAAUGCACCGGAUCCCAUCAGAACUCCGCAGUUAAGCGUGCUUGGGCGAGAGUAGUACUAGGAUGGGUGACCUCCUGGGAAGUCCUUGUGUUGCACCUCUUUUUGCCAAAAUUUCGUGUUCUUUUUGUUAAUUAGCGUAAUUUUACGUCGUUCCGUUAAUUUACGCUACCUAACACUCUAUUAGUUAAUUAAUUAGCGUAGUUUGACGUCUUUUUUGAAAAAUAAAUUAGAAAUGCAUAUAUACAAUUACAACGCUUUACUCUCAGGUGCGAUCAUACCAGCACUAAUGCACCGGAUCCCAUCAGAACUCCGCAGUUAAGCGUGCUUGGGCGAGAGUAGUACUAGGAUGGGUGACCUCCUGGGAAGUCCUUGUGUUGCACCUCUUUUUGCCAAAAUUUCGUGUUCUUUUUGUUAAUUAGCGUAAUUUUACGUCGUUUUUGAAAAAUAAACUUCGAUUGUAUUUCAUUUUUUCCGUUAAUUUACGCUACCUAACACUCUAUUAGUUAAUUAAUUAGCGUAGUUUGACGUCUUUUUUGAAAAAUAAAUUAGAAAUGCAUAUAUACAAUUACAACGCUUUACUCUCAGGUGCGAUCAUACCAGCACUAAUGCACCGGAUCCCAUCAGAACUCCGCAGUUAAGCGUGCUUGGGCGAGAGUAGUACUAGGAUGGGUGACCUCCUGGGAAGUCCUUGUGUUGCACCUCUUUUUGCCAAAAUUUCGUGUUCUUUUUGUUAAUUAGCGUAAUUUUACGUCGUUCCGUUAAUUUACGCUACCUAACACUCUAUUAGUUAAUUAAUUAGCGUAGUUUGACGUCUUUUUUGAAAAAUAAAUUAGAAAUGCAUAUAUACAAUUACAACGCUUUACUCUCAGGUGCGAUCAUACCAGCACUAAUGCACCGGAUCCCAUCAGAACUCCGCAGUUAAGCGUGCUUGGGCGAGAGUAGUACUAGGAUGGGUGACCUCCUGGGAAGUCCUUGUGUUGCACCUCUUUUGCCAAAAUUUCGUGUUCUUUUUGUUAAUUAGCGUAAUUUUACGUCGUUCCGUUAAUUUACGCUACCUAACACUCUAUUAGUUAAUUAAUUAGCGUAGUUUGACGUCUUUUUUGAAAAAUAAAUUAGAAAUGCAUAUAUACAAUUACAACGCUUUACUCUCAGGUGCGAUCAUACCAGCACUAAUGCACCGGAUCCCAUCAGAACUCCGCAGUUAAGCGUGCUUGGGCGAGAGUAGUACUAGGAUGGGUGACCUCCUGGGAAGUCCUUGUGUUGCACCUCUUUUUGCCAAAAUUUCGUGUUCUUUUUGUUAAUUAGCGUAAUUUUACGUCGUUUUUGAAAAAUAAACUUCGAUUGUAUUUCAUUUUUUCCGUUAAUUUACGCUACCUAACACUCUAUUAGUUAAUUAAUUAGCGUAGUUUGACGUCUUUUUUGAAAAAUAAAUUAGAAAUGCAUAUAUACAAUUACAACGCUUUACUCUCAGGUGCGAUCAUACCAGCACUAAUGCACCGGAUCCCAUCAGAACUCCGCAGUUAAGCGUGCUUGGGCGAGAGUAGUACUAGGAUGGGUGACCUCCUGGGAAGUCCUUGUGUUGCACCUCUUUUUGCCAAAAUUUCGUGUUCUUUUUGUUAAUUAGCGUAAUUUUACGUCGUUCCGUUAAUUUACGCUACCUAACACUCUAUUAGUUAAUUAAUUAGCGUAGUUUGACGUCUUUUUUGAAAAAUAAAUUAGAAAUGCAUAUAUACAAUUACAACGCUUUACUCUCAGGUGCGAUCAUACCAGCACUAAUGCACCGGAUCCCAUCAGAACUCCGCAGUUAAGCGUGCUUGGGCGAGAGUAGUACUAGGAUGGGUGACCUCCUGGGAAGUCCUUGUGUUGCACCUCUUUUUGCCAAAAUUUCGUGUUCUUUUUGUUAAUUAGCGUAAUUUUACGUCGUUUUUGAAAAAUAAACUUCGAUUGUAUUUCAUUUUUUCCGUUAAUUUACGCUACCUAACACUCUAUUAGUUAAUUAAUUAGCGUAGUUUGACGUCUUUUUUGAAAAAUAAAUUAGAAAUGCAUAUAUACAAUUACAACGCUUUACUCUCAGGUGCGAUCAUACCAGCACUAAUGCACCGGAUCCCAUCAGAACUCCGCAGUUAAGCGUGCUUGGGCGAGAGUAGUACUAGGAUGGGUGACCUCCUGGGAAGUCCUUGUGUUGCACCUCUUUUGCCAAAAUUUCGUGUUCUUUUUGUUAAUUAGCGUAAUUUUACGUCGUUCCGUUAAUUUACGCUACCUAACACUCUAUUAGUUAAUUAAUUAGCGUAGUUUGACGUCUUUUUUGAAAAAUAAAUUAGAAAUGCAUAUAUACAAUUACAACGCUUUACUCUCAGGUGCGAUCAUACCAGCACUAAUGCACCGGAUCCCAUCAGAACUCCGCAGUUAAGCGUGCUUGGGCGAGAGUAGUACUAGGAUGGGUGACCUCCUGGGAAGUCCUUGUGUUGCACCUCUUUUUGCCAAAAUUUCGUGUUCUUUUUGUUAAUUAGCGUAAUUUUACGUCGUUCCGUUAAUUUACGCUACCUAACACUCUAUUAGUUAAUUAAUUAGCGUAGUUUGACGUCUUUUUUGAAAAAUAAAUUAGAAAUGCAUAUAUACAAUUACAACGCUUUACUCUCAGGUGCGAUCAUACCAGCACUAAUGCACCGGAUCCCAUCAGAACUCCGCAGUUAAGCGUGCUUGGGCGAGAGUAGUACUAGGAUGGGUGACCUCCUGGGAAGUCCUUGUGUUGCACCUCUUUUUGCCAAAAUUUCGUGUUCUUUUUGUUAAUUAGCGUAAUUUUACGUCGUUCCGUUAAUUUACGCUACCUAACACUCUAUUAGUUAAUUAAUUAGCGUAGUUUGACGUCUUUUUUGAAAAAUAAAUUAGAAAUGCAUAUAUACAAUUACAACGCUUUACUCUCAGGUGCGAUCAUACCAGCACUAAUGCACCGGAUCCCAUCAGAACUCCGCAGUUAAGCGUGCUUGGGCGAGAGUAGUACUAGGAUGGGUGACCUCCUGGGAAGUCCUUGUGUUGCACCUCUUUUGCCAAAAUUUCGUGUUCUUUUUGUUAAUUAGCGUAAUUUUACGUCGUUCCGUUAAUUUACGCUACCUAACACUCUAUUAGUUAAUUAAUUAGCGUAGUUUGACGUCUUUUUUGAAAAAUAAAUUAGAAAUGCAUAUAUACAAUUACAACGCUUUACUCUCAGGUGCGAUCAUACCAGCACUAAUGCACCGGAUCCCAUCAGAACUCCGCAGUUAAGCGUGCUUGGGCGAGAGUAGUACUAGGAUGGGUGACCUCCUGGGAAGUCCUUGUGUUGCACCUCUUUUUGCCAAAAUUUCGUGUUCUUUUUGUUAAUUAGCGUAAUUUUACGUCGUUCCGUUAAUUUACGCUACCUAACACUCUAUUAGUUAAUUAAUUAGCGUAGUUUGACGUCUUUUUUGAAAAAUAAAUUAGAAAUGCAUAUAUACAAUUACAACGCUUUACUCUCAGGUGCGAUCAUACCAGCACUAAUGCACCGGAUCCCAUCAGAACUCCGCAGUUAAGCGUGCUUGGGCGAGAGUAGUACUAGGAUGGGUGACCUCCUGGGAAGUCCUUGUGUUGCACCUCUUUUUGCCAAAAUUUCGUGUUCUUUUGUUAAUUAGCGUAAUUUUACGUCGUUUUUGAAAAAUAAACUUCGAUUGUAUUUCAUUUUUUCCGUUAAUUUACGCUACCUAACACUCUAUUAGUUAAUUAAUUAGCGUAGUUUGACGUCUUUUUUGAAAAAUAAAUUAGAAAUGCAUAUAUACAAUUACAACGCUUUACUCUCAGGUGCGAUCAUACCAGCACUAAUGCACCGGAUCCCAUCAGAACUCCGCAGUUAAGCGUGCUUGGGCGAGAGUAGUACUAGGAUGGGUGACCUCCUGGGAAGUCCUUGUGUUGCACCUCUUUUUGCCAAAAUUUCGUGUUCUUUUUGUUAAUUAGCGUAAUUUUACGUCGUUCCGUUAAUUUACGCUACCUAACACUCUAUUAGUUAAUUAAUUAGCGUAGUUUGACGUCUUUUUUGAAAAAUAAAUUAGAAAUGCAUAUAUACAAUUACAACGCUUUACUCUCAGGUGCGAUCAUACCAGCACUAAUGCACCGGAUCCCAUCAGAACUCCGCAGUUAAGCGUGCUUGGGCGAGAGUAGUACUAGGAUGGGUGACCUCCUGGGAAGUCCUUGUGUUGCACCUCUUUUUGCCAAAAUUUCGUGUUCUUUUUGUUAAUUAGCGUAAUUUUACGUCGUUUUUGAAAAAUAAACUUCGAUUGUAUUUCAUUUUUUCCGUUAAUUUACGCUACCUAACACUCUAUUAGUUAAUUAAUUAGCGUAGUUUGACGUCUUUUUUGAAAAAUAAAUUAGAAAUGCAUAUAUACAAUUACAACGCUUUACUCUCAGGUGCGAUCAUACCAGCACUAAUGCACCGGAUCCCAUCAGAACUCCGCAGUUAAGCGUGCUUGGGCGAGAGUAGUACUAGGAUGGGUGACCUCCUGGGAAGUCCUUGUGUUGCACCUCUUUUUGCCAAAAUUUCGUGUUCUUUUUGUUAAUUAGCGUAAUUUUACGUCGUUCCGUUAAUUUACGCUACCUAACACUCUAUUAGUUAAUUAAUUAGCGUAGUUUGACGUCUUUUUUGAAAAAUAAAUUAGAAAUGCAUAUAUACAAUUACAACGCUUUACUCUCAGGUGCGAUCAUACCAGCACUAAUGCACCGGAUCCCAUCAGAACUCCGCAGUUAAGCGUGCUUGGGCGAGAGUAGUACUAGGAUGGGUGACCUCCUGGGAAGUCCUUGUGUUGCACCUCUUUUUGCCAAAAUUUCGUGUUCUUUUUGUUAAUUAGCGUAAUUUUACGUCGUUCCGUUAAUUUACGCUACCUAACACUCUAUUAGUUAAUUAAUUAGCGUAGUUUGACGUCUUUUUUGAAAAAUAAAUUAGAAAUGCAUAUAUACAAUUACAACGCUUUACUCUCAGGUGCGAUCAUACCAGCACUAAUGCACCGGAUCCCAUCAGAACUCCGCAGUUAAGCGUGCUUGGGCGAGAGUAGUACUAGGAUGGGUGACCUCCUGGGAAGUCCUUGUGUUGCACCUCUUUUUGCCAAAAUUUCGUGUUCUUUUUGUUAAUUAGCGUAAUUUUACGUCGUUCCGUUAAUUUACGCUACCUAACACUCUAUUAGUUAAUUAAUUAGCGUAGUUUGACGUCUUUUUUGAAAAAUAAAUUAGAAAUGCAUAUAUACAAUUACAACGCUUUACUCUCAGGUGCGAUCAUACCAGCACUAAUGCACCGGAUCCCAUCAGAACUCCGCAGUUAAGCGUGCUUGGGCGAGAGUAGUACUAGGAUGGGUGACCUCCUGGGAAGUCCUUGUGUUGCACCUCUUUUUGCCAAAAUUUCGUGUUCUUUUUGUUAAUUAGCGUAAUUUUACGUCGUUCCGUUAAUUUACGCUACCUAACACUCUAUUAGUUAAUUAAUUAGCGUAGUUUGACGUCUUUUUUGAAAAAUAAAUUAGAAAUGCAUAUAUACAAUUACAACGCUUUACUCUCAGGUGCGAUCAUACCAGCACUAAUGCACCGGAUCCCAUCAGAACUCCGCAGUUAAGCGUGCUUGGGCGAGAGUAGUACUAGGAUGGGUGACCUCCUGGGAAGUCCUUGUGUUGCACCUCUUUUUGCCAAAAUUUCGUGUUCUUUUUGUUAAUUAGCGUAAUUUUACGUCGUUUUUGAAAAAUAAACUUCGAUUGUAUUUCAUUUUUUCCGUUAAUUUACGCUACCUAACACUCUAUUAGUUAAUUAAUUAGCGUAGUUUGACGUCUUUUUUGAAAAAUAAAUUAGAAAUGCAUAUAUACAAUUACAACGCUUUACUCUCAGGUGCGAUCAUACCAGCACUAAUGCACCGGAUCCCAUCAGAACUCCGCAGUUAAGCGUGCUUGGGCGAGAGUAGUACUAGGAUGGGUGACCUCCUGGGAAGUCCUUGUGUUGCACCUCUUUUUGCCAAAAUUUCGUGUUCUUUUUGUUAAUUAGCGUAAUUUUACGUCGUUUUUGAAAAAUAAACUUCGAUUGUAUUUCAUUUUUUCCGUUAAUUUACGCUACCUAACACUCUAUUAGUUAAUUAAUUAGCGUAGUUUGACGUCUUUUUUGAAAAAUAAAUUAGAAAUGCAUAUAUACAAUUACAACGCUUUACUCUCAGGUGCGAUCAUACCAGCACUAAUGCACCGGAUCCCAUCAGAACUCCGCAGUUAAGCGUGCUUGGGCGAGAGUAGUACUAGGAUGGGUGACCUCCUGGGAAGUCCUUGUGUUGCACCUCUUUUGCCAAAAUUUCGUGUUCUUUUUGUUAAUUAGCGUAAUUUUACGUCGUUUUUGAAAAAUAAACUUCGAUUGUAUUUCAUUUUUUCCGUUAAUUUACGCUACCUAACACUCUAUUAGUUAAUUAAUUAGCGUAGUUUGACGUCUUUUUUGAAAAAUAAAUUAGAAAUGCAUAUAUACAAUUACAACGCUUUACUCUCAGGUGCGAUCAUACCAGCACUAAUGCACCGGAUCCCAUCAGAACUCCGCAGUUAAGCGUGCUUGGGCGAGAGUAGUACUAGGAUGGGUGACCUCCUGGGAAGUCCUUGUGUUGCACCUCUUUUUGCCAAAAUUUCGUGUUCUUUUUGUUAAUUAGCGUAAUUUUACGUCGUUUUUGAAAAAUAAACUUCGAUUGUAUUUCAUUUUUUCCGUUAAUUUACGCUACCUAACACUCUAUUAGUUAAUUAAUUAGCGUAGUUUGACGUCUUUUUUGAAAAAUAAAUUAGAAAUGCAUAUAUACAAUUACAACGCUUUACUCUCAGGUGCGAUCAUACCAGCACUAAUGCACCGGAUCCCAUCAGAACUCCGCAGUUAAGCGUGCUUGGGCGAGAGUAGUACUAGGAUGGGUGACCUCCUGGGAAGUCCUUGUGUUGCACCUCUUUUUGCCAAAAUUUCGUGUUCUUUUUGUUAAUUAGCGUAAUUUUACGUCGUUCCGUUAAUUUACGCUACCUAACACUCUAUUAGUUAAUUAAUUAGCGUAGUUUGACGUCUUUUUUGAAAAAUAAAUUAGAAAUGCAUAUAUACAAUUACAACGCUUUACUCUCAGGUGCGAUCAUACCAGCACUAAUGCACCGGAUCCCAUCAGAACUCCGCAGUUAAGCGUGCUUGGGCGAGAGUAGUACUAGGAUGGGUGACCUCCUGGGAAGUCCUUGUGUUGCACCUCUUUUUGCCAAAAUUUCGUGUUCUUUUUGUUAAUUAGCGUAAUUUUACGUCGUUCCGUUAAUUUACGCUACCUAACACUCUAUUAGUUAAUUAAUUAGCGUAGUUUGACGUCUUUUUUGAAAAAUAAAUUAGAAAUGCAUAUAUACAAUUACAACGCUUUACUCUCAGGUGCGAUCAUACCAGCACUAAUGCACCGGAUCCCAUCAGAACUCCGCAGUUAAGCGUGCUUGGGCGAGAGUAGUACUAGGAUGGGUGACCUCCUGGGAAGUCCUUGUGUUGCACCUCUUUUUGCCAAAAUUUCGUGUUCUUUUUGUUAAUUAGCGUAAUUUUACGUCGUUUUUGAAAAAUAAACUUCGAUUGUAUUUCAUUUUUUCCGUUAAUUUACGCUACCUAACACUCUAUUAGUUAAUUAAUUAGCGUAGUUUGACGUCUUUUUUGAAAAAUAAAUUAGAAAUGCAUAUAUACAAUUACAACGCUUUACUCUCAGGUGCGAUCAUACCAGCACUAAUGCACCGGAUCCCAUCAGAACUCCGCAGUUAAGCGUGCUUGGGCGAGAGUAGUACUAGGAUGGGUGACCUCCUGGGAAGUCCUUGUGUUGCACCUCUUUUUGCCAAAAUUUCGUGUUCUUUUUGUUAAUUAGCGUAAUUUUACGUCGUUUUUGAAAAAUAAACUUCGAUUGUAUUUCAUUUUUUCCGUUAAUUUACGCUACCUAACACUCUAUUAGUUAAUUAAUUAGCGUAGUUUGACGUCUUUUUUGAAAAAUAAAUUAGAAAUGCAUAUAUACAAUUACAACGCUUUACUCUCAGGUGCGAUCAUACCAGCACUAAUGCACCGGAUCCCAUCAGAACUCCGCAGUUAAGCGUGCUUGGGCGAGAGUAGUACUAGGAUGGGUGACCUCCUGGGAAGUCCUUGUGUUGCACCUCUUUUUGCCAAAAUUUCGUGUUCUUUUUGUUAAUUAGCGUAAUUUUACGUCGUUUUUGAAAAAUAAACUUCGAUUGUAUUUCAUUUUUUCCGUUAAUUUACGCUACCUAACACUCUAUUAGUUAAUUAAUUAGCGUAGUUUGACGUCUUUUUUGAAAAAUAAAUUAGAAAUGCAUAUAUACAAUUACAACGCUUUACUCUCAGGUGCGAUCAUACCAGCACUAAUGCACCGGAUCCCAUCAGAACUCCGCAGUUAAGCGUGCUUGGGCGAGAGUAGUACUAGGAUGGGUGACCUCCUGGGAAGUCCUUGUGUUGCACCUCUUUUUGCCAAAAUUUCGUGUUCUUUUUGUUAAUUAGCGUAAUUUUACGUCGUUUUUGAAAAAUAAACUUCGAUUGUAUUUCAUUUUUUCCGUUAAUUUACGCUACCUAACACUCUAUUAGUUAAUUAAUUAGCGUAGUUUGACGUCUUUUUUGAAAAAUAAAUUAGAAAUGCAUAUAUACAAUUACAACGCUUUACUCUCAGGUGCGAUCAUACCAGCACUAAUGCACCGGAUCCCAUCAGAACUCCGCAGUUAAGCGUGCUUGGGCGAGAGUAGUACUAGGAUGGGUGACCUCCUGGGAAGUCCUUGUGUUGCACCUCUUUUUGCCAAAAUUUCGUGUUCUUUUUGUUAAUUAGCGUAAUUUUACGUCGUUUUUGAAAAAUAAACUUCGAUUGUAUUUCAUUUUUUCCGUUAAUUUACGCUACCUAACACUCUAUUAGUUAAUUAAUUAGCGUAGUUUGACGUCUUUUUUGAAAAAUAAAUUAGAAAUGCAUAUAUACAAUUACAACGCUUUACUCUCAGGUGCGAUCAUACCAGCACUAAUGCACCGGAUCCCAUCAGAACUCCGCAGUUAAGCGUGCUUGGGCGAGAGUAGUACUAGGAUGGGUGACCUCCUGGGAAGUCCUUGUGUUGCACCUCUUUUUGCCAAAAUUUCGUGUUCUUUUUGUUAAUUAGCGUAAUUUUACGUCGUUUUUGAAAAAUAAACUUCGAUUGUAUUUCAUUUUUUCCGUUAAUUUACGCUACCUAACACUCUAUUAGUUAAUUAAUUAGCGUAGUUUGACGUCUUUUUUGAAAAAUAAAUUAGAAAUGCAUAUAUACAAUUACAACGCUUUACUCUCAGGUGCGAUCAUACCAGCACUAAUGCACCGGAUCCCAUCAGAACUCCGCAGUUAAGCGUGCUUGGGCGAGAGUAGUACUAGGAUGGGUGACCUCCUGGGAAGUCCUUGUGUUGCACCUCUUUUUGCCAAAAUUUCGUGUUCUUUUUGUUAAUUAGCGUAAUUUUACGUCGUUUUUGAAAAAUAAACUUCGAUUGUAUUUCAUUUUUUCCGUUAAUUUACGCUACCUAACACUCUAUUAGUUAAUUAAUUAGCGUAGUUUGACGUCUUUUUUGAAAAAUAAAUUAGAAAUGCAUAUAUACAAUUACAACGCUUUACUCUCAGGUGCGAUCAUACCAGCACUAAUGCACCGGAUCCCAUCAGAACUCCGCAGUUAAGCGUGCUUGGGCGAGAGUAGUACUAGGAUGGGUGACCUCCUGGGAAGUCCUUGUGUUGCACCUCUUUUUGCCAAAAUUUCGUGUUCUUUUUGUUAAUUAGCGUAAUUUUACGUCGUUUUUGAAAAAUAAACUUCGAUUGUAUUUCAUUUUUUCCGUUAAUUUACGCUACCUAACACUCUAUUAGUUAAUUAAUUAGCGUAGUUUGACGUCUUUUUUGAAAAAUAAAUUAGAAAUGCAUAUAUACAAUUACAACGCUUUACUCUCAGGUGCGAUCAUACCAGCACUAAUGCACCGGAUCCCAUCAGAACUCCGCAGUUAAGCGUGCUUGGGCGAGAGUAGUACUAGGAUGGGUGACCUCCUGGGAAGUCCUUGUGUUGCACCUCUUUUUGCCAAAAUUUCGUGUUCUUUUUGUUAAUUAGCGUAAUUUUACGUCGUUUUUGAAAAAUAAACUUCGAUUGUAUUUCAUUUUUUCCGUUAAUUUACGCUACCUAACACUCUAUUAGUUAAUUAAUUAGCGUAGUUUGACGUCUUUUUUGAAAAAUAAAUUAGAAAUGCAUAUAUACAAUUACAACGCUUUACUCUCAGGUGCGAUCAUACCAGCACUAAUGCACCGGAUCCCAUCAGAACUCCGCAGUUAAGCGUGCUUGGGCGAGAGUAGUACUAGGAUGGGUGACCUCCUGGGAAGUCCUUGUGUUGCACCUCUUUUUGCCAAAAUUUCGUGUUCUUUUUGUUAAUUAGCGUAAUUUUACGUCGUUUUUGAAAAAUAAACUUCGAUUGUAUUUCAUUUUUUCCGUUAAUUUACGCUACCUAACACUCUAUUAGUUAAUUAAUUAGCGUAGUUUGACGUCUUUUUUGAAAAAUAAAUUAGAAAUGCAUAUAUACAAUUACAACGCUUUACUCUCAGGUGCGAUCAUACCAGCACUAAUGCACCGGAUCCCAUCAGAACUCCGCAGUUAAGCGUGCUUGGGCGAGAGUAGUACUAGGAUGGGUGACCUCCUGGGAAGUCCUUGUGUUGCACCUCUUUUUGCCAAAAUUUCGUGUUCUUUUUGUUAAUUAGCGUAAUUUUACGUCGUUUUUGAAAAAUAAACUUCGAUUGUAUUUCAUUUUUUCCGUUAAUUUACGCUACCUAACACUCUAUUAGUUAAUUAAUUAGCGUAGUUUGACGUCUUUUUUGAAAAAUAAAUUAGAAAUGCAUAUAUACAAUUACAACGCUUUACUCUCAGGUGCGAUCAUACCAGCACUAAUGCACCGGAUCCCAUCAGAACUCCGCAGUUAAGCGUGCUUGGGCGAGAGUAGUACUAGGAUGGGUGACCUCCUGGGAAGUCCUUGUGUUGCACCUCUUUUUGCCAAAAUUUCGUGUUCUUUUUGUUAAUUAGCGUAAUUUUACGUCGUUUUUGAAAAAUAAACUUCGAUUGUAUUUCAUUUUUUCCGUUAAUUUACGCUACCUAACACUCUAUUAGUUAAUUAAUUAGCGUAGUUUGACGUCUUUUUUGAAAAAUAAAUUAGAAAUGCAUAUAUACAAUUACAACGCUUUACUCUCAGGUGCGAUCAUACCAGCACUAAUGCACCGGAUCCCAUCAGAACUCCGCAGUUAAGCGUGCUUGGGCGAGAGUAGUACUAGGAUGGGUGACCUCCUGGGAAGUCCUUGUGUUGCACCUCUUUUUGCCAAAAUUUCGUGUUCUUUUUGUUAAUUAGCGUAAUUUUACGUCGUUUUUGAAAAAUAAACUUCGAUUGUAUUUCAUUUUUUCCGUUAAUUUACGCUACCUAACACUCUAUUAGUUAAUUAAUUAGCGUAGUUUGACGUCUUUUUUGAAAAAUAAAUUAGAAAUGCAUAUAUACAAUUACAACGCUUUACUCUCAGGUGCGAUCAUACCAGCACUAAUGCACCGGAUCCCAUCAGAACUCCGCAGUUAAGCGUGCUUGGGCGAGAGUAGUACUAGGAUGGGUGACCUCCUGGGAAGUCCUUGUGUUGCACCUCUUUUUGCCAAAAUUUCGUGUUCUUUUUGUUAAUUAGCGUAAUUUUACGUCGUUUUUGAAAAAUAAACUUCGAUUGUAUUUCAUUUUUCCGUUAAUUUACGCUACCUAACACUCUAUUAGUUAAUUAAUUAGCGUAGUUUGACGUCUUUUUUGAAAAAUAAAUUAGAAAUGCAUAUAUACAAUUACAACGCUUUACUCUCAGGUGCGAUCAUACCAGCACUAAUGCACCGGAUCCCAUCAGAACUCCGCAGUUAAGCGUGCUUGGGCGAGAGUAGUACUAGGAUGGGUGACCUCCUGGGAAGUCCUUGUGUUGCACCUCUUUUUGCCAAAAUUUCGUGUUCUUUUUGUUAAUUAGCGUAAUUUUACGUCGUUUUUGAAAAAUAAACUUCGAUUGUAUUUCAUUUUUUCCGUUAAUUUACGCUACUAACACUCUAUUAGUUAAUUAAUUAGCGUAGUUUGACGUCUUUUUUGAAAAAUAAAUUAGAAAUGCAUAUAUACAAUUACAACGCUUUACUCUCAGGUGCGAUCAUACCAGCACUAAUGCACCGGAUCCCAUCAGAACUCCGCAGUUAAGCGUGCUUGGGCGAGAGUAGUACUAGGAUGGGUGACCUCCUGGGAAGUCCUUGUGUUGCACCUCUUUUUGCCAAAAUUUCGUGUUCUUUUUGUUAAUUAGCGUAAUUUUACGUCGUUUUUGAAAAAUAAACUUCGAUUGUAUUUCAUUUUUUCCGUUAAUUUACGCUACCUAACACUCUAUUAGUUAAUUAAUUAGCGUAGUUUGACGUCUUUUUUGAAAAAUAAAUUAGAAAUGCAUAUAUACAAUUACAACGCUUUACUCUCAGGUGCGAUCAUACCAGCACUAAUGCACCGGAUCCCAUCAGAACUCCGCAGUUAAGCGUGCUUGGGCGAGAGUAGUACUAGGAUGGGUGACCUCCUGGGAAGUCCUUGUGUUGCACCUCUUUUUGCCAAAAUUUCGUGUUCUUUUUGUUAAUUAGCGUAAUUUUACGUCGUUUUUGAAAAAUAAACUUCGAUUGUAUUUCAUUUUUUCCGUUAAUUUACGCUACCUAACACUCUAUUAGUUAAUUAAUUAGCGUAGUUUGACGUCUUUUUUGAAAAAUAAAUUAGAAAUGCAUAUAUACAAUUACAACGCUUUACUCUCAGGUGCGAUCAUACCAGCACUAAUGCACCGGAUCCCAUCAGAACUCCGCAGUUAAGCGUGCUUGGGCGAGAGUAGUACUAGGAUGGGUGACCUCCUGGGAAGUCCUUGUGUUGCACCUCUUUUUGCCAAAAUUUCGUGUUCUUUUUGUUAAUUAGCGUAAUUUUACGUCGUUUUUGAAAAAUAAACUUCGAUUGUAUUUCAUUUUUUCCGUUAAUUUACGCUACCUAACACUCUAUUAGUUAAUUAAUUAGCGUAGUUUGACGUCUUUUUUGAAAAAUAAAUUAGAAAUGCAUAUAUACAAUUACAACGCUUUACUCUCAGGUGCGAUCAUACCAGCACUAAUGCACCGGAUCCCAUCAGAACUCCGCAGUUAAGCGUGCUUGGGCGAGAGUAGUACUAGGAUGGGUGACCUCCUGGGAAGUCCUUGUGUUGCACCUCUUUUUGCCAAAAUUUCGUGUUCUUUUUGUUAAUUAGCGUAAUUUUACGUCGUUUUUGAAAAAUAAACUUCGAUUGUAUUUCAUUUUUUCCGUUAAUUUACGCUACCUAACACUCUAUUAGUUAAUUAAUUAGCGUAGUUUGACGUCUUUUUUGAAAAAUAAAUUAGAAAUGCAUAUAUACAAUUACAACGCUUUACUCUCAGGUGCGAUCAUACCAGCACUAAUGCACCGGAUCCCAUCAGAACUCCGCAGUUAAGCGUGCUUGGGCGAGAGUAGUACUAGGAUGGGUGACCUCCUGGGAAGUCCUUGUGUUGCACCUCUUUUUUCCAAAAUUUCUUGUUCUUUUUGUUAAUUAGCGUAAUUUUACGUCGUUUUUGAAAAAUAACUUCAAUUGUAUUUCAUUUUUUCCGUUAAUUUACGCUACCUAACACUCUAUUAGUUAAUUAAUUAGCGUAGUUUGACGUCUUUUUUGAAAAAUAAAUUAGAAAUGCAUAUAUACAAUUACAACGCUUUACUCUCAGGUGCGAUCAUACCAGCACUAAUGCACCGGAUCCCAUCAGAACUCCGCAGUUAAGCGUGCUUGGGCGAGAGUAGUACUAGGAUGGGUGACCUCCUGGGAAGUCCUUGUGUUGCACCUCUUUUUGCCAAAAUUUCGUGUUCUUUUUGUUAAUUAGCGUAAUUUUACGUCGUUUUUGAAAAAUAAACUUCGAUUGUAUUUCAUUUUUUCCGUUAAUUUACGCUACCUAACACUCUAUUAGUUAAUUAAUUAGCGUAGUUUGACGUCUUUUUUGAAAAAUAAAUUAGAAAUGCAUAUAUACAAUUACAACGCUUUACUCUCAGGUGCGAUCAUACCAGCACUAAUGCACCGGAUCCCAUCAGAACUCCGCAGUUAAGCGUGCUUGGGCGAGAGUAGUACUAGGAUGGGUGACCUCCUGGGAAGUCCUUGUGUUGCACCUCUUUUUGCCAAAAUUUCGUGUUCUUUUUGUUAAUUAGCGUAAUUUUACGUCGUUUUUGAAAAAUAAACUUCGAUUGUAUUUCAUUUUUUCCGUUAAUUUACGCUACCUAACACUCUAUUAGUUAAUUAAUUAGCGUAGUUUGACGUCUUUUUUGAAAAAUAAAUUAGAAAUGCAUAUAUACAAUUACAACGCUUUACUCUCAGGUGCGAUCAUACCAGCACUAAUGCACCGGAUCCCAUCAGAACUCCGCAGUUAAGCGUGCUUGGGCGAGAGUAGUACUAGGAUGGGUGACCUCCUGGGAAGUCCUUGUGUUGCACCUCUUUUUGCCAAAAUUUCGUGUUCUUUUUGUUAAUUAGCGUAAUUUUACGUCGUUUUUGAAAAAUAAACUUCGAUUGUAUUUCAUUUUUUCCGUUAAUUUACGCUACCUAACACUCUAUUAGUUAAUUAAUUAGCGUAGUUUGACGUCUUUUUUGAAAAAUAAAUUAGAAAUGCAUAUAUACAAUUACAACGCUUUACUCUCAGGUGCGAUCAUACCAGCACUAAUGCACCGGAUCCCAUCAGAACUCCGCAGUUAAGCGUGCUUGGGCGAGAGUAGUACUAGGAUGGGUGACCUCCUGGGAAGUCCUUGUGUUGCACCUCUUUUUGCCAAAAUUUCGUGUUCUUUUUGUUAAUUAGCGUAAUUUUACGUCGUUUUUGAAAAAUAAACUUCGAUUGUAUUUCAUUUUUUCCGUUAAUUUACGCUACCUAACACUCUAUUAGUUAAUUAAUUAGCGUAGUUUGACGUCUUUUUUGAAAAAUAAAUUAGAAAUGCAUAUAUACAAUUACAACGCUUUACUCUCAGGUGCGAUCAUACCAGCACUAAUGCACCGGAUCCCAUCAGAACUCCGCAGUUAAGCGUGCUUGGGCGAGAGUAGUACUAGGAUGGGUGACCUCCUGGGAAGUCCUUGUGUUGCACCUCUUUUUGCCAAAAUUUCGUGUUCUUUUUGUUAAUUAGCGUAAUUUUACGUCGUUUUUGAAAAAUAAACUUCGAUUGUAUUUCAUUUUUUCCGUUAAUUUACGCUACCUAACACUCUAUUAGUUAAUUAAUUAGCGUAGUUUGACGUCUUUUUUGAAAAAUAAAUUAGAAAUGCAUAUAUACAAUUACAACGCUUUACUCUCAGGUGCGAUCAUACCAGCACUAAUGCACCGGAUCCCAUCAGAACUCCGCAGUUAAGCGUGCUUGGGCGAGAGUAGUACUAGGAUGGGUGACCUCCUGGGAAGUCCUUGUGUUGCACCUCUUUUUGCCAAAAUUUCGUGUUCUUUUUGUUAAUUAGCGUAAUUUUACGUCGUUUUUGAAAAAUAAACUUCGAUUGUAUUUCAUUUUUUCCGUUAAUUUACGCUACCUAACACUCUAUUAGUUAAUUAAUUAGCGUAGUUUGACGUCUUUUUUGAAAAAUAAAUUAGAAAUGCAUAUAUACAAUUACAACGCUUUACUCUCAGGUGCGAUCAUACCAGCACUAAUGCACCGGAUCCCAUCAGAACUCCGCAGUUAAGCGUGCUUGGGCGAGAGUAGUACUAGGAUGGGUGACCUCCUGGGAAGUCCUUGUGUUGCACCUCUUUUUGCCAAAAUUUCGUGUUCUUUUUGUUAAUUAGCGUAAUUUUACGUCGUUUUUGAAAAAUAAACUUCGAUUGUAUUUCAUUUUUUCCGUUAAUUUACGCUACCUAACACUCUAUUAGUUAAUUAAUUAGCGUAGUUUGACGUCUUUUUUGAAAAAUAAAUUAGAAAUGCAUAUAUACAAUUACAACGCUUUACUCUCAGGUGCGAUCAUACCAGCACUAAUGCACCGGAUCCCAUCAGAACUCCGCAGUUAAGCGUGCUUGGGCGAGAGUAGUACUAGGAUGGGUGACCUCCUGGGAAGUCCUUGUGUUGCACCUCUUUUUGCCAAAAUUUCGUGUUCUUUUUGUUAAUUAGCGUAAUUUUACGUCGUUUUUGAAAAAUAAACUUCGAUUGUAUUUCAUUUUUUCCGUUAAUUUACGCUACCUAACACUCUAUUAGUUAAUUAAUUAGCGUAGUUUGACGUCUUUUUUGAAAAAUAAAUUAGAAAUGCAUAUAUACAAUUACAACGCUUUACUCUCAGGUGCGAUCAUACCAGCACUAAUGCACCGGAUCCCAUCAGAACUCCGCAGUUAAGCGUGCUUGGGCGAGAGUAGUACUAGGAUGGGUGACCUCCUGGGAAGUCCUUGUGUUGCACCUCUUUUUGCCAAAAUUUCGUGUUCUUUUUGUUAAUUAGCGUAAUUUUACGUCGUUUUUGAAAAAUAAACUUCGAUUGUAUUUCAUUUUUUCCGUUAAUUUACGCUACCUAACACUCUAUUAGUUAAUUAAUUAGCGUAGUUUGACGUCUUUUUUGAAAAAUAAAUUAGAAAUGCAUAUAUACAAUUACAACGCUUUACUCUCAGGUGCGAUCAUACCAGCACUAAUGCACCGGAUCCCAUCAGAACUCCGCAGUUAAGCGUGCUUGGGCGAGAGUAGUACUAGGAUGGGUGACCUCCUGGGAAGUCCUUGUGUUGCACCUCUUUUUGCCAAAAUUCGUGUUCUUUUGUUAAUUAGCGUAAUUUUACGUCGUUUUUGAAAAUAAACUUCGAUUGUAUUUCAUUUUUUCCGUUAAUUUACGCUACCUAACACUCUAUUAGUUAAUUAAUUAGCGUAGUUUGACGUCUUUUUUGAAAAAUAAAUUAGAAAUGCAUAUAUACAAUUACAACGCUUUACUCUCAGGUGCGAUCAUACCAGCACUAAUGCACCGGAUCCCAUCAGAACUCCGCAGUUAAGCGUGCUUGGGCGAGAGUAGUACUAGGAUGGGUGACCUCCUGGGAAGUCCUUGUGUUGCACCUCUUUUUGCCAAAAUUUCGUGUUCUUUUUGUUAAUUAGCGUAAUUUUACGUCGUUUUUGAAAAAUAAACUUCGAUUGUAUUUCAUUUUUUCCGUUAAUUUACGCUACCUAACACUCUAUUAGUUAAUUAAUUAGCGUAGUUUGACGUCUUUUUUGAAAAAUAAAUUAGAAAUGCAUAUAUACAAUUACAACGCUUUACUCUCAGGUGCGAUCAUACCAGCACUAAUGCACCGGAUCCCAUCAGAACUCCGCAGUUAAGCGUGCUUGGGCGAGAGUAGUACUAGGAUGGGUGACCUCCUGGGAAGUCCUUGUGUUGCACCUCUUUUUGCCAAAAUUUCGUGUUCUUUUUGUUAAUUAGCGUAAUUUUACGUCGUUUUUGAAAAAUAAACUUCGAUUGUAUUUCAUUUUUUCCGUUAAUUUACGCUACCUAACACUCUAUUAGUUAAUUAAUUAGCGUAGUUUGACGUCUUUUUUGAAAAAUAAAUUAGAAAUGCAUAUAUACAAUUACAACGCUUUACUCUCAGGUGCGAUCAUACCAGCACUAAUGCACCGGAUCCCAUCAGAACUCCGCAGUUAAGCGUGCUUGGGCGAGAGUAGUACUAGGAUGGGUGACCUCCUGGGAAGUCCUUGUGUUGCACCUCUUUUUGCCAAAAUUUCGUGUUCUUUUUGUUAAUUAGCGUAAUUUUACGUCGUUUUUGAAAAAUAAACUUCGAUUGUAUUUCAUUUUUUCCGUUAAUUUACGCUACCUAACACUCUAUUAGUUAAUUAAUUAGCGUAGUUUGACGUCUUUUUUGAAAAAUAAAUUAGAAAUGCAUAUAUACAAUUACAACGCUUUACUCUCAGGUGCGAUCAUACCAGCACUAAUGCACCGGAUCCCAUCAGAACUCCGCAGUUAAGCGUGCUUGGGCGAGAGUAGUACUAGGAUGGGUGACCUCCUGGGAAGUCCUUGUGUUGCACCUCUUUUUGCCAAAAUUUCGUGUUCUUUUUGUUAAUUAGCGUAAUUUUACGUCGUUUUUGAAAAAUAAACUUCGAUUGUAUUUCAUUUUUUCCGUUAAUUUACGCUACCUAACACUCUAUUAGUUAAUUAAUUAGCGUAGUUUGACGUCUUUUUUGAAAAAUAAAUUAGAAAUGCAUAUAUACAAUUACAACGCUUUACUCUCAGGUGCGAUCAUACCAGCACUAAUGCACCGGAUCCCAUCAGAACUCCGCAGUUAAGCGUGCUUGGGCGAGAGUAGUACUAGGAUGGGUGACCUCCUGGGAAGUCCUUGUGUUGCACCUCUUUUUGCCAAAAUUUCGUGUUCUUUUUGUUAAUUAGCGUAAUUUUACGUCGUUUUUGAAAAAUAAACUUCGAUUGUAUUUCAUUUUUUCCGUUAAUUUACGCUACCUAACACUCUAUUAGUUAAUUAAUUAGCGUAGUUUGACGUCUUUUUUGAAAAAUAAAUUAGAAAUGCAUAUAUACAAUUACAACGCUUUACUCUCAGGUGCGAUCAUACCAGCACUAAUGCACCGGAUCCCAUCAGAACUCCGCAGUUAAGCGUGCUUGGGCGAGAGUAGUACUAGGAUGGGUGACCUCCUGGGAAGUCCUUGUGUUGCACCUCUUUUUGCCAAAAUUUCGUGUUCUUUUUGUUAAUUAGCGUAAUUUUACGUCGUUUUUGAAAAAUAAACUUCGAUUGUAUUUCAUUUUUUCCGUUAAUUUACGCUACCUAACACUCUAUUAGUUAAUUAAUUAGCGUAGUUUGACGUCUUUUUUGAAAAUAAAUUAGAAAUGCAUAUAUACAAUUACAACGCUUUACUCUCAGGUGCGAUCAUACCAGCACUAAUGCACCGGAUCCCAUCAGAACUCCGCAGUUAAGCGUGCUUGGGCGAGAGUAGUACUAGGAUGGGUGACCUCCUGGGAAGUCCUUGUGUUGCACCUCUUUUUGCCAAAAUUUCGUGUUCUUUUUGUUAAUUAGCGUAAUUUUACGUCGUUUUUGAAAAAUAAACUUCGAUUGUAUUUCAUUUUUUCCGUUAAUUUACGCUACCUAACACUCUAUUAGUUAAUUAAUUAGCGUAGUUUGACGUCUUUUUUGAAAAAUAAAUUAGAAAUGCAUAUAUACAAUUACAACGCUUUACUCUCAGGUGCGAUCAUACCAGCACUAAUGCACCGGAUCCCAUCAGAACUCCGCAGUUAAGCGUGCUUGGGCGAGAGUAGUACUAGGAUGGGUGACCUCCUGGGAAGUCCUUGUGUUGCACCUCUUUUUGCCAAAAUUUCGUGUUCUUUUUGUUAAUUAGCGUAAUUUUACGUCGUUUUUGAAAAAUAAACUUCGAUUGUAUUUCAUUUUUUCCGUUAAUUUACGCUACCUAACACUCUAUUAGUUAAUUAAUUAGCGUAGUUUGACGUCUUUUUUGAAAAAUAAAUUAGAAAUGCAUAUAUACAAUUACAACGCUUUACUCUCAGGUGCGAUCAUACCAGCACUAAUGCACCGGAUCCCAUCAGAACUCCGCAGUUAAGCGUGCUUGGGCGAGAGUAGUACUAGGAUGGGUGACCUCCUGGGAAGUCCUUGUGUUGCACCUCUUUUUGCCAAAAUUUCGUGUUCUUUUUGUUAAUUAGCGUAAUUUUACGUCGUUUUUGAAAAAUAAACUUCGAUUGUAUUUCAUUUUUUCCGUUAAUUUACGCUACCUAACACUCUAUUAGUUAAUUAAUUAGCGUAGUUUGACGUCUUUUUUGAAAAAUAAAUUAGAAAUGCAUAUAUACAAUUACAACGCUUUACUCUCAGGUGCGAUCAUACCAGCACUAAUGCACCGGAUCCCAUCAGAACUCCGCAGUUAAGCGUGCUUGGGCGAGAGUAGUACUAGGAUGGGUGACCUCCUGGGAAGUCCUUGUGUUGCACCUCUUUUUGCCAAAAUUUCGUGUUCUUUUUGUUAAUUAGCGUAAUUUUACGUCGUUUUUGAAAAAUAAACUUCGAUUGUAUUUCAUUUUUUCCGUUAAUUUACGCUACCUAACACUCUAUUAGUUAAUUAAUUAGCGUAGUUUGACGUCUUUUUUGAAAAAUAAAUUAGAAAUGCAUAUAUACAAUUACAACGCUUUACUCUCAGGUGCGAUCAUACCAGCACUAAUGCACCGGAUCCCAUCAGAACUCCGCAGUUAAGCGUGCUUGGGCGAGAGUAGUACUAGGAUGGGUGACCUCCUGGGAAGUCCUUGUGUUGCACCUCUUUUUGCCAAAAUUUCGUGUUCUUUUUGUUAAUUAGCGUAAUUUUACGUCGUUUUUGAAAAAUAAACUUCGAUUGUAUUUCAUUUUUUCCGUUAAUUUACGCUACCUAACACUCUAUUAGUUAAUUAAUUAGCGUAGUUUGACGUCUUUUUUGAAAAAUAAAUUAGAAAUGCAUAUAUACAAUUACAACGCUUUACUCUCAGGUGCGAUCAUACCAGCACUAAUGCACCGGAUCCCAUCAGAACUCCGCAGUUAAGCGUGCUUGGGCGAGAGUAGUACUAGGAUGGGUGACCUCCUGGGAAGUCCUUGUGUUGCACCUCUUUUUGCCAAAAUUUCGUGUUCUUUUUGUUAAUUAGCGUAAUUUUACGUCGUUUUUGAAAAAUAAACUUCGAUUGUAUUUCAUUUUUUCCGUUAAUUUACGCUACCUAACACUCUAUUAGUUAAUUAAUUAGCGUAGUUUGACGUCUUUUUUGAAAAAUAAAUUAGAAAUGCAUAUAUACAAUUACAACGCUUUACUCUCAGGUGCGAUCAUACCAGCACUAAUGCACCGGAUCCCAUCAGAACUCCGCAGUUAAGCGUGCUUGGGCGAGAGUAGUACUAGGAUGGGUGACCUCCUGGGAAGUCCUUGUGUUGCACCUCUUUUUGCCAAAAUUUCGUGUUCUUUUUGUUAAUUAGCGUAAUUUUACGUCGUUUUGAAAAUAAACUUCGAUUGUAUUUCAUUUUUUCCGUUAAUUUACGCUACCUAACACUCUAUUAGUUAAUUAAUUAGCGUAGUUUGACGUCUUUUUGAAAAAUAAAUUAGAAAUGCAUAUAUACAAUUACAACGCUUUACUCUCAGGUGCGAUCAUACCAGCACUAAUGCACCGGAUCCCAUCAGAACUCCGCAGUUAAGCGUGCUUGGGCGAGAGUAGUACUAGGAUGGGUGACCUCCUGGGAAGUCCUUGUGUUGCACCUCUUUUUGCCAAAAUUUCGUGUUCUUUUUGUUAAUUAGCGUAAUUUUACGUCGUUUUUGAAAAAUAAACUUCGAUUGUAUUUCAUUUUUUCCGUUAAUUUACGCUACCUAACACUCUAUUAGUUAAUUAAUUAGCGUAGUUUGACGUCUUUUUUGAAAAAUAAAUUAGAAAUGCAUAUAUACAAUUACAACGCUUUACUCUCAGGUGCGAUCAUACCAGCACUAAUGCACCGGAUCCCAUCAGAACUCCGCAGUUAAGCGUGCUUGGGCGAGAGUAGUACUAGGAUGGGUGACCUCCUGGGAAGUCCUUGUGUUGCACCUCUUUUUGCCAAAAUUUCGUGUUCUUUUUGUUAAUUAGCGUAAUUUUACGUCGUUUUUGAAAAUAAACUUCGAUUGUAUUUCAUUUUUUCCGUUAAUUUACGCUACCUAACACUCUAUUAGUUAAUUAAUUAGCGUAGUUUGACGUCUUUUUUGAAAAAUAAAUUAGAAAUGCAUAAUACAAUUACAACGCUUUACUCUCAGGUGCGAUCAUACCAGCACUAAUGCACCGGAUCCCAUCAGAACUCCGCAGUUAAGCGUGCUUGGGCGAGAGUAGUACUAGGAUGGGUGACCUCCUGGGAAGUCCUUGUGUUGCACCUCUUUUUGCCAAAAUUUCGUGUUCUUUUUGUUAAUUAGCGUAAUUUUACGUCGUUUUUGAAAAAUAAACUUCGAUUGUAUUUCAUUUUUUCCGUUAAUUUACGCUACCUAACACUCUAUUAGUUAAUUAAUUAGCGUAGUUUGACGUCUUUUUUGAAAAAUAAAUUAGAAAUGCAUAUAUACAAUUACAACGCUUUACUCUCAGGUGCGAUCAUACCAGCACUAAUGCACCGGAUCCCAUCAGAACUCCGCAGUUAAGCGUGCUUGGGCGAGAGUAGUACUAGGAUGGGUGACCUCCUGGGAAGUCCUUGUGUUGCACCUCUUUUUGCCAAAAUUUCGUGUUCUUUUGUUAAUUAGCGUAAUUUUACGUCGUUUUUGAAAAAUAAACUUCGAUUGUAUUUCAUUUUUUCCGUUAAUUUACGCUACCUAACACUCUAUUAGUUAAUUAAUUAGCGUAGUUUGACGUCUUUUUUGAAAAAUAAAUUAGAAAUGCAUAUAUACAAUUACAACGCUUUACUCUCAGGUGCGAUCAUACCAGCACUAAUGCACCGGAUCCCAUCAGAACUCCGCAGUUAAGCGUGCUUGGGCGAGAGUAGUACUAGGAUGGGUGACCUCCUGGGAAGUCCUUGUGUUGCACCUCUUUUUGCCAAAAUUUCGUGUUCUUUUUGUUAAUUAGCGUAAUUUUACGUCGUUUUUGAAAAAUAAACUUCGAUUGUAUUUCAUUUUUUCCGUUAAUUUACGCUACCUAACACUCUAUUAGUUAAUUAAUUAGCGUAGUUUGACGUCUUUUUUGAAAAAUAAAUUAGAAAUGCAUAUAUACAAUUACAACGCUUUACUCUCAGGUGCGAUCAUACCAGCACUAAUGCACCGGAUCCCAUCAGAACUCCGCAGUUAAGCGUGCUUGGGCGAGAGUAGUACUAGGAUGGGUGACCUCCUGGGAAGUCCUUGUGUUGCACCUCUUUUUGCCAAAAUUUCGUGUUCUUUUUGUUAAUUAGCGUAAUUUUACGUCGUUUUGAAAAUAAACUUCGAUUGUAUUUCAUUUUUUCCGUUAAUUUACGCUACCUAACACUCUAUUAGUUAAUUAAUUAGCGUAGUUUGACGUCUUUUUUGAAAAAUAAAUUAGAAAUGCAUAUAUACAAUUACAACGCUUUACUCUCAGGUGCGAUCAUACCAGCACUAAUGCACCGGAUCCCAUCAGAACUCCGCAGUUAAGCGUGCUUGGGCGAGAGUAGUACUAGGAUGGGUGACCUCCUGGGAAGUCCUUGUGUUGCACCUCUUUUUGCCAAAAUUUCGUGUUCUUUUUGUUAAUUAGCGUAAUUUUACGUCGUUUUUGAAAAAUAAACUUCGAUUGUAUUUCAUUUUUUCCGUUAAUUUACGCUACCUAACACUCUAUUAGUUAAUUAAUUAGCGUAGUUUGACGUCUUUUUUGAAAAAUAAAUUAGAAAUGCAUAUAUACAAUUACAACGCUUUACUCUCAGGUGCGAUCAUACCAGCACUAAUGCACCGGAUCCCAUCAGAACUCCGCAGUUAAGCGUGCUUGGGCGAGAGUAGUACUAGGAUGGGUGACCUCCUGGGAAGUCCUUGUGUUGCACCUCUUUUUGCCAAAAUUUCGUGUUCUUUUGUUAAUUAGCGUAAUUUUACGUCGUUUUUGAAAAAUAAACUUCGAUUGUAUUUCAUUUUUUCCGUUAAUUUACGCUACCUAACACUCUAUUAGUUAAUUAAUUAGCGUAGUUUGACGUCUUUUUGAAAAAUAAAUUAGAAAUGCAUAUAUACAAUUACAACGCUUUACUCUCAGGUGCGAUCAUACCAGCACUAAUGCACCGGAUCCAUCAGAACUCCGCAGUUAAGCGUGCUUGGGCGAGAGUAGUACUAGGAUGGGUGACCUCCUGGGAAGUCCUUGUGUUGCACCUCUUUUUGCCAAAAUUUCGUGUUCUUUUUGUUAAUUAGCGUAAUUUUACGUCGUUUUUGAAAAAUAAACUUCGAUUGUAUUUCAUUUUUUCCGUUAAUUUACGCUACCUAACACUCUAUUAGUUAAUUAAUUAGCGUAGUUUGACGUCUUUUUUGAAAAAUAAAUUAGAAAUGCAUAUAUACAAUUACAACGCUUUACUCUCAGGUGCGAUCAUACCAGCACUAAUGCACCGGAUCCCAUCAGAACUCCGCAGUUAAGCGUGCUUGGGCGAGAGUAGUACUAGGAUGGGUGACCUCCUGGGAAGUCCUUGUGUUGCACCUCUUUUUGCCAAAAUUUCGUGUUCUUUUUGUUAAUUAGCGUAAUUUUACGUCGUUUUUGAAAAAUAAACUUCGAUUGUAUUUCAUUUUUUCCGUUAAUUUACGCUACCUAACACUCUAUUAGUUAAUUAAUUAGCGUAGUUUGACGUCUUUUUUGAAAAAUAAAUUAGAAAUGCAUAUAUACAAUUACAACGCUUUACUCUCAGGUGCGAUCAUACCAGCACUAAUGCACCGGAUCCCAUCAGAACUCCGCAGUUAAGCGUGCUUGGGCGAGAGUAGUACUAGGAUGGGUGACCUCCUGGGAAGUCCUUGUGUUGCACCUCUUUUUGCCAAAAUUUCGUGUUCUUUUUGUUAAUUAGCGUAAUUUUACGUCGUUUUUGAAAAAUAAACUUCGAUUGUAUUUCAUUUUUUCCGUUAAUUUACGCUACCUAACACUCUAUUAGUUAAUUAAUUAGCGUAGUUUGACGUCUUUUUGAAAAAUAAAUUAGAAAUGCAUAUAUACAAUUACAACGCUUUACUCUCAGGUGCGAUCAUACCAGCACUAAUGCACCGGAUCCCAUCAGAACUCCGCAGUUAAGCGUGCUUGGGCGAGAGUAGUACUAGGAUGGGUGACCUCCUGGGAAGUCCUUGUGUUGCACCUCUUUUUGCCAAAAUUUCGUGUUCUUUUUGUUAAUUAGCGUAAUUUUACGUCGUUUUUGAAAAAUAAACUUCGAUUGUAUUUCAUUUUUUCCGUUAAUUUACGCUACCUAACACUCUAUUAGUUAAUUAAUUAGCGUAGUUUGACGUCUUUUUUGAAAAAUAAAUUAGAAAUGCAUAUAUACAAUUACAACGCUUUACUCUCAGGUGCGAUCAUACCAGCACUAAUGCACCGGAUCCCAUCAGAACUCCGCAGUUAAGCGUGCUUGGGCGAGAGUAGUACUAGGAUGGGUGACCUCCUGGGAAGUCCUUGUGUUGCACCUCUUUUUGCCAAAAUUUCGUGUUCUUUUUGUUAAUUAGCGUAAUUUUACGUCGUUUUUGAAAAUAAACUUCGAUUGUAUUUCAUUUUUUCCGUUAAUUUACGCUACCUAACACUCUAUUAGUUAAUUAAUUAGCGUAGUUUGACGUCUUUUUUGAAAAAUAAAUUAGAAAUGCAUAUAUACAAUUACAACGCUUUACUCUCAGGUGCGAUCAUACCAGCACUAAUGCACCGGAUCCCAUCAGAACUCCGCAGUUAAGCGUGCUUGGGCGAGAGUAGUACUAGGAUGGGUGACCUCCUGGGAAGUCCUUGUGUUGCACCUCUUUUUGCCAAAAUUUCGUGUUCUUUUUGUUAAUUAGCGUAAUUUUACGUCGUUUUUGAAAAAUAAACUUCGAUUGUAUUUCAUUUUUUCCGUUAAUUUACGCUACCUAACACUCUAUUAGUUAAUUAAUUAGCGUAGUUUGACGUCUUUUUUGAAAAAUAAAUUAGAAAUGCAUAUAUACAAUUACAACGCUUUACUCUCAGGUGCGAUCAUACCAGCACUAAUGCACCGGAUCCCAUCAGAACUCCGCAGUUAAGCGUGCUUGGGCGAGAGUAGUACUAGGAUGGGUGACCUCCUGGGAAGUCCUUGUGUUGCACCUCUUUUUGCCAAAAUUUCGUGUUCUUUUUGUUAAUUAGCGUAAUUUUACGUCGUUUUUGAAAAAUAAACUUCGAUUGUAUUUCAUUUUUUCCGUUAAUUUACGCUACCUAACACUCUAUUAGUUAAUUAAUUAGCGUAGUUUGACGUCUUUUUUGAAAAAUAAAUUAGAAAUGCAUAUAUACAAUUACAACGCUUUACUCUCAGGUGCGAUCAUACCAGCACUAAUGCACCGGAUCCCAUCAGAACUCCGCAGUUAAGCGUGCUUGGGCGAGAGUAGUACUAGGAUGGGUGACCUCCUGGGAAGUCCUUGUGUUGCACCUCUUUUUGCCAAAAUUUCGUGUUCUUUUUGUUAAUUAGCGUAAUUUUACGUCGUUUUUGAAAAUAAACUUCGAUUGUAUUUCAUUUUUUCCGUUAAUUUACGCUACCUAACACUCUAUUAGUUAAUUAAUUAGCGUAGUUUGACGUCUUUUUUGAAAAUAAAUUAGAAAUGCAUAUAUACAAUUACAACGCUUUACUCUCAGGUGCGAUCAUACCAGCACUAAUGCACCGGAUCCCAUCAGAACUCCGCAGUUAAGCGUGCUUGGGCGAGAGUAGUACUAGGAUGGGUGACCUCCUGGGAAGUCCUUGUGUUGCACCUCUUUUUGCCAAAAUUUCGUGUUCUUUUGUUAAUUAGCGUAAUUUUACGUCGUUUUUGAAAAAUAAACUUCGAUUGUAUUUCAUUUUUUCCGUUAAUUUACGCUACCUAACACUCUAUUAGUUAAUUAAUUAGCGUAGUUUGACGUCUUUUUUGAAAAAUAAAUUAGAAAUGCAUAUAUACAAUUACAACGCUUUACUCUCAGGUGCGAUCAUACCAGCACUAAUGCACCGGAUCCCAUCAGAACUCCGCAGUUAAGCGUGCUUGGGCGAGAGUAGUACUAGGAUGGGUGACCUCCUGGGAAGUCCUUGUGUUGCACCUCUUUUUGCCAAAAUUUCGUGUUCUUUUUGUUAAUUAGCGUAAUUUUACGUCGUUUUUGAAAAAUAAACUUCGAUUGUAUUUCAUUUUUCCGUUAAUUUACGCUACCUAACACUCUAUUAGUUAAUUAAUUAGCGUAGUUUGACGUCUUUUUUGAAAAAUAAUUAGAAAUGCAUAUAUACAAUUACAACGCUUUACUCUCAGGUGCGAUCAUACCAGCACUAAUGCACCGGAUCCCAUCAGAACUCCGCAGUUAAGCGUGCUUGGGCGAGAGUAGUACUAGGAUGGGUGACCUCCUGGGAAGUCCUUGUGUUGCACCUCUUUUUGCCAAAAUUUCGUGUUCUUUUUGUUAAUUAGCGUAAUUUUACGUCGUUUUUGAAAAAUAAACUUCGAUUGUAUUUCAUUUUUUCCGUUAAUUUACGCUACCUAACACUCUAUUAGUUAAUUAAUUAGCGUAGUUUGACGUCUUUUUUGAAAAUAAAUUAGAAAUGCAUAUAUACAAUUACAACGCUUUACUCUCAGGUGCGAUCAUACCAGCACUAAUGCACCGGAUCCCAUCAGAACUCCGCAGUUAAGCGUGCUUGGGCGAGAGUAGUACUAGGAUGGGUGACCUCCUGGGAAGUCCUUGUGUUGCACCUCUUUUUGCCAAAAUUUCGUGUUCUUUUGUUAAUUAGCGUAAUUUUACGUCGUUUUUGAAAAAUAACUUCGAUUGUAUUUCAUUUUUUCCGUUAAUUUACGCUACCUAACACUCUAUUAGUUAAUUAAUUAGCGUAGUUUGACGUCUUUUUUGAAAAAUAAAUUAGAAAUGCAUAUAUACAAUUACAACGCUUUACUCUCAGGUGCGAUCAUACCAGCACUAAUGCACCGGAUCCCAUCAGAACUCCGCAGUUAAGCGUGCUUGGGCGAGAGUAGUACUAGGAUGGGUGACCUCCUGGGAAGUCCUUGUGUUGCACCUCUUUUUGCCAAAAUUUCGUGUUCUUUUUGUUAAUUAGCGUAAUUUUACGUCGUUUUUGAAAAAUAAACUUCGAUUGUAUUUCAUUUUUUCCGUUAAUUUACGCUACCUAACACUCUAUUAGUUAAUUAAUUAGCGUAGUUUGACGUCUUUUUUGAAAAAUAAAUUAGAAAUGCAUAUAUACAAUUACACGUUUUACUCUCAGGUGCGAUCAUACAGCACUAAUGCACCGGAUCCCAUCAGAACUCCGCAGUUAAGCGUGCUUGGGCGAGAGUAGUACUAGGAUGGUGACCUCCUGGGAAGUCCUUGUGUUGCACCUCUUUUUGCCAAAAUUUCGUGUUCUUUUUGUUAAUUAGCGUAAUUUUACGUCGUUUUUGAAAAAUAAACUUCGAUUGUAUUUCAUUUUUUCCGUUAAUUUACGCUACCUAACACUCUAUUAGUUAAUUAAUUAGCGUAGUUUGACGUCUUUUUGAAAAAUAAAUUAGAAAUGCAUAUAUACAAUUACGCGUUUUACUCUCAGGUGCGAUCAUACCAGCACUAAUGCACCGGAUCCCAUCAGAACUCCGCAGUUAAGCGUGCUUGGGCGAGAGUAGUACUAGGAUGGGUGACCUCCUGGGAAGUCCUUGUGUUGCACCUCUUUUUGCCAAAAUUUCGUGUUCUUUUUGUUAAUUAGCGUAAUUUUACGUCGUUUUUGAAAAAUAAACUUCGAUUGUAUUUCAUUUUUUCCGUUAAUUUACGCUACCUAACACUCUAUUAGUUAAUUAAUUAGCGUAGUUUGACGUCUUUUUUGAAAAAUAAAUUAGAAAUGCAUAUAUACAAUUACAACGCUUUACUCUCAGGUGCGAUCAUACCAGCACUAAUGCACCGGAUCCCAUCAGAACUCCGCAGUUAAGCGUGCUUGGGCGAGAGUAGUACUAGGAUGGGUGACCUCCUGGGAAGUCCUUGUGUUGCACCUCUUUUUGCCAAAUUUCGUGUUCUUUUGUUAAUUAGCGUAAUUUUACGUCGUUUUUGAAAAAUAAACUUCGAUUGUAUUCAUUUUUUCCGUUAAUUUACGCUACCUAACACUCUAUUAGUUAAUUAAUUAGCGUAGUUUGACGUCUUUUUGAAAAUAAAUUAGAAAUGCAUAUAUACAAUUACAACGCUUUACUCUCAGGUGCGAUCAUACCAGCACUAAUGCACCGGAUCCAUCAGAACUCCGCAGUUAAGCGUGCUUGGGCGAGAGUAGUACUAGGAUGGGUGACCUCCUGGGAAGUCCUUGUGUUGCACCUCUUUUUGCCAAAUUUCGUGUUCUUUUGUUAAUUAGCGUAAUUUUACGUCGUUUUUGAAAAUAAACUUCGAUUGUAUUUCAUUUUUUUCCGUUAAUUUACGCUACCUAACACUCUAUUAGUUAAUUAAUUAGCGUAGUUUGACGUCUUUUUUGAAAAAUAAAUUAGAAAUGCAUAUAUACAAUUACAACGCUUUACUCUCAGGUGCGAUCAUACCAGCACUAAUGCACCGGAUCCCAUCAGAACUCCGCAGUUAAGCGUGCUUGGGCGAGAGUAGUACUAGGAUGGGUGACCUCCUGGGAAGUCCUUGUGUUGCACCUCUUUUUGCCAAAAUUUCGUGUUCUUUUUGUUAAUUAGCGUAAUUUUACGUCGUUUUUGAAAAAUAAACUUCGAUUGUAUUUCAUUUUUUCCGUUAAUUUACGCUACCUAACACUCUAUUAGUUAAUUAAUUAGCGUAGUUUGACGUCUUUUUUGAAAAAUAAAUUAGAAAUGCAUAUAUACAAUUACAACGCUUUACUCUCAGGUGCGAUCAUACCAGCACUAAUGCACCGGAUCCCAUCAGAACUCCGCAGUUAAGCGUGCUUGGCGAGAGUAGUACUAGGAUGGGUGACCUCCUGGGAAGUCCUUGUGUUGCACCUCUUUUUGCCAAAAUUUCGUGUUCUUUUUGUUAAUUAGCGUAAUUUUACGUCGUUUUUGAAAAAUAAACUUCGAUUGUAUUUCAUUUUUUCCGUUAAUUUACGCUACCUAACACUCUAUUAGUUAAUUAAUUAGCGUAGUUUGACGUCUUUUUUGAAAAAUAAAUUAGAAAUGCAUAUAUACAAUUACAACGCUUUACUCUCAGGUGCGAUCAUACCAGCACUAAUGCACCGGAUCCAUCAGAACUCCGCAGUUAAGCGUGCUUGGGCGAGAGUAGUACUAGGAUGGGUGACCUCCUGGGAAGUCCUUGUGUUGCACCUCUUUUUGCCAAAAUUUCGUGUUCUUUUUGUUAAUUAGCGUAAUUUUACGUCGUUUUUGAAAAUAAACUUCGAUUGUAUUUCAUUUUUUCCGUUAAUUUACGCUACCUAACACUCUAUUAGUUAAUUAAUUAGCGUAGUUUGACGUCUUUUUUGAAAAAUAAAUUAGAAAUGCAUAUAUACAAUUACGUCGUUUUACUCUCAGGUGCGAUCAUACCAGCACUAAUGCACCGGAUCCCAUCAGAACUCCGCAGUUAAGCGUGCUUGGGCGAGAGUAGUACUAGGAUGGGUGACCUCCUGGGAAGUCCUUGUGUUGCACCUCUUUUUGCCAAAAUUUCGUGUUCUUUUUGUUAAUUAGCGUAAUUUUACGUCGUUUUUGAAAAAUAAACUUCGAUUGUAUUUCAUUUUUUCCGUUAAUUUACGCUACCUAACACUCUAUUAGUUAAUUAAUUAGCGUAGUUUGACGUCUUUUUUGAAAAAUAAAUUAGAAAUGCAUAUAUACAAUUACAACGCUUUACUCUCAGGUGCGAUCAUACCAGCACUAAUGCACCGGAUCCCAUCAGAACUCCGCAGUUAAGCGUGCUUGGGCGAGAGUAGUACUAGGAUGGGUGACCUCCUGGGAAGUCCUUGUGUUGCACCUCUUUUUGCCAAAAUUUCGUGUUCUUUUUGUUAAUUAGCGUAAUUUUACGUCGUUUUUGAAAAAUAAACUUCGAUUGUAUUUCAUUUUUUCCGUUAAUUUACGCUACCUAACACUCUAUUAGUUAAUUAAUUAGCGUAGUUUGACGUCUUUUUUGAAAAAUAAAUUAGAAAUGCAUAUAUACAAUUACAACGCUUUACUCUCAGGUGCGAUCAUACCAGCACUAAUGCACCGGAUCCCAUCAGAACUCCGCAGUUAAGCGUGCUUGGGCGAGAGUAGUACUAGGAUGGGUGACCUCCUGGGAAGUCCUUGUGUUGCACCUCUUUUUGCCAAAAUUUCGUGUUCUUUUUGUUAAUUAGCGUAAUUUUACGUCGUUUUGAAAAAUAAACUUCGAUUGUAUUUCAUUUUUUCCGUUAAUUUACGCUACCUAACACUCUAUUAGUUAAUUAAUUAGCGUAGUUUGACGUCUUUUUUGAAAAAUAAAUUAGAAAUGCAUAUAUACAAUUACAACGCUUUACUCUCAGGUGCGAUCAUACCAGCACUAAUGCACCGGAUCCCAUCAGAACUCCGCAGUUAAGCGUGCUUGGGCGAGAGUAGUACUAGGAUGGGUGACCUCCUGGGAAGUCCUUGUGUUGCACCUCUUUUUGCCAAAAUUUCGUGUUCUUUUUGUUAAUUAGCGUAAUUUUACGUCGUUUUUGAAAAAUAAACUUCGAUUGUAUUUCAUUUUUUCCGUUAAUUUACGCUACCUAACACUCUAUUAGUUAAUUAAUUAGCGUAGUUUGACGUCUUUUUUGAAAAAUAAAUUAGAAAUGCAUAUAUACAAUUACAACGCUUUACUCUCAGGUGCGAUCAUACCAGCACUAAUGCACCGGAUCCCAUCAGAACUCCGCAGUUAAGCGUGCUUGGGCGAGAGUAGUACUAGGAUGGGUGACCUCCUGGGAAGUCCUUGUGUUGCACCUCUUUUUGCCAAAAUUUCGUGUUCUUUUUGUUAAUUAGCGUAAUUUUACGUCGUUUUUGAAAAAUAAACUUCGAUUGUAUUUCAUUUUUUCCGUUAAUUUACGCUACCUAACACUCUAUUAGUUAAUUAAUUAGCGUAGUUUGACGUCUUUUUUGAAAAAUAAAUUAGAAAUGCAUAUAUACAAUUACAACGCUUUACUCUCAGGUGCGAUCAUACCAGCACUAAUGCACCGGAUCCCAUCAGAACUCCGCAGUUAAGCGUGCUUGGGCGAGAGUAGUACUAGGAUGGGUGACCUCCUGGGAAGUCCUUGUGUUGCACCUCUUUUUGCCAAAAUUUCGUGUUCUUUUUGUUAAUUAGCGUAAUUUUACGUCGUUUUUGAAAAAUAAACUUCGAUUGUAUUUCAUUUUUUCCGUUAAUUUACGCUACCUAACACUCUAUUAGUUAAUUAAUUAGCGUAGUUUGACGUCUUUUUUGAAAAAUAAAUUAGAAAUGCAUAUAUACAAUUACAACGCUUUACUCUCAGGUGCGAUCAUACCAGCACUAAUGCACCGGAUCCCAUCAGAACUCCGCAGUUAAGCGUGCUUGGGCGAGAGUAGUACUAGGAUGGGUGACCUCCUGGGAAGUCCUUGUGUUGCACCUCUUUUUGCCAAAAUUUCGUGUUCUUUUUGUUAAUUAGCGUAAUUUUACGUCGUUUUUGAAAAAUAAACUUCGAUUGUAUUUCAUUUUUUCCGUUAAUUUACGCUACCUAACACUCUAUUAGUUAAUUAAUUAGCGUAGUUUGACGUCUUUUUUGAAAAAUAAAUUAGAAAUGCAUAUAUACAAUUACAACGCUUUACUCUCAGGUGCGAUCAUACCAGCACUAAUGCACCGGAUCCCAUCAGAACUCCGCAGUUAAGCGUGCUUGGGCGAGAGUAGUACUAGGAUGGGUGACCUCCUGGGAAGUCCUUGUGUUGCACCUCUUUUUGCCAAAAUUUCGUGUUCUUUUUGUUAAUUAGCGUAAUUUUACGUCGUUUUUGAAAAAUAAACUUCGAUUGUAUUUCAUUUUUUCCGUUAAUUUACGCUACCUAACACUCUAUUAGUUAAUUAAUUAGCGUAGUUUGACGUCUUUUUUGAAAAAUAAAUUAGAAAUGCAUAUAUACAAUUACAACGCUUUACUCUCAGGUGCGAUCAUACCAGCACUAAUGCACCGGAUCCCAUCAGAACUCCGCAGUUAAGCGUGCUUGGGCGAGAGUAGUACUAGGAUGGGUGACCUCCUGGGAAGUCCUUGUGUUGCACCUCUUUUUGCCAAAAUUUCGUGUUCUUUUUGUUAAUUAGCGUAAUUUUACGUCGUUUUUGAAAAAUAAACUUCGAUUGUAUUUCAUUUUUUCCGUUAAUUUACGCUACCUAACACUCUAUUAGUUAAUUAAUUAGCGUAGUUUGACGUCUUUUUUGAAAAAUAAAUUAGAAAUGCAUAUAUACAAUUACAACGCUUUACUCUCAGGUGCGAUCAUACCAGCACUAAUGCACCGGAUCCCAUCAGAACUCCGCAGUUAAGCGUGCUUGGGCGAGAGUAGUACUAGGAUGGGUGACCUCCUGGGAAGUCCUUGUGUUGCACCUCUUUUUGCCAAAAUUUCGUGUUCUUUUUGUUAAUUAGCGUAAUUUUACGUCGUUUUUGAAAAAUAAACUUCGAUUGUAUUUCAUUUUUUCCGUUAAUUUACGCUACCUAACACUCUAUUAGUUAAUUAAUUAGCGUAGUUUGACGUCUUUUUUGAAAAAUAAAUUAGAAAUGCAUAUAUACAAUUACAACGCUUUACUCUCAGGUGCGAUCAUACCAGCACUAAUGCACCGGAUCCCAUCAGAACUCCGCAGUUAAGCGUGCUUGGGCGAGAGUAGUACUAGGAUGGGUGACCUCCUGGGAAGUCCUUGUGUUGCACCUCUUUUUGCCAAAAUUUCGUGUUCUUUUUGUUAAUUAGCGUAAUUUUACGUCGUUUUUGAAAAAUAAACUUCGAUUGUAUUUCAUUUUUUCCGUUAAUUUACGCUACCUAACACUCUAUUAGUUAAUUAAUUAGCGUAGUUUGACGUCUUUUUUGAAAAAUAAAUUAGAAAUGCAUAUAUACAAUUACAACGCUUUACUCUCAGGUGCGAUCAUACCAGCACUAAUGCACCGGAUCCCAUCAGAACUCCGCAGUUAAGCGUGCUUGGGCGAGAGUAGUACUAGGAUGGGUGACCUCCUGGGAAGUCCUUGUGUUGCACCUCUUUUUGCCAAAAUUUCGUGUUCUUUUUGUUAAUUAGCGUAAUUUUACGUCGUUUUUGAAAAAUAAACUUCGAUUGUAUUUCAUUUUUUCCGUUAAUUUACGCUACCUAACACUCUAUUAGUUAAUUAAUUAGCGUAGUUUGACGUCUUUUUUGAAAAAUAAAUUAGAAAUGCAUAUAUACAAUUACAACGCUUUACUCUCAGGUGCGAUCAUACCAGCACUAAUGCACCGGAUCCCAUCAGAACUCCGCAGUUAAGCGUGCUUGGGCGAGAGUAGUACUAGGAUGGGUGACCUCCUGGGAAGUCCUUGUGUUGCACCUCUUUUUGCCAAAAUUUCGUGUUCUUUUUGUUAAUUAGCGUAAUUUUACGUCGUUUUUGAAAAAUAAACUUCGAUUGUAUUUCAUUUUUUCCGUUAAUUUACGCUACCUAACACUCUAUUAGUUAAUUAAUUAGCGUAGUUUGACGUCUUUUUUGAAAAAUAAAUUAGAAAUGCAUAUAUACAAUUACAACGCUUUACUCUCAGGUGCGAUCAUACCAGCACUAAUGCACCGGAUCCCAUCAGAACUCCGCAGUUAAGCGUGCUUGGGCGAGAGUAGUACUAGGAUGGGUGACCUCCUGGGAAGUCCUUGUGUUGCACCUCUUUUUGCCAAAAUUUCGUGUUCUUUUUGUUAAUUAGCGUAAUUUUACGUCGUUUUUGAAAAAUAAACUUCGAUUGUAUUUCAUUUUUUCCGUUAAUUUACGCUACCUAACACUCUAUUAGUUAAUUAAUUAGCGUAGUUUGACGUCUUUUUUGAAAAAUAAAUUAGAAAUGCAUAUAUACAAUUACAACGCUUUACUCUCAGGUGCGAUCAUACCAGCACUAAUGCACCGGAUCCCAUCAGAACUCCGCAGUUAAGCGUGCUUGGGCGAGAGUAGUACUAGGAUGGGUGACCUCCUGGGAAGUCCUUGUGUUGCACCUCUUUUUGCCAAAAUUUCGUGUUCUUUUUGUUAAUUAGCGUAAUUUUACGUCGUUUUUGAAAAAUAAACUUCGAUUGUAUUUCAUUUUUUCCGUUAAUUUACGCUACCUAACACUCUAUUAGUUAAUUAAUUAGCGUAGUUUGACGUCUUUUUUGAAAAAUAAAUUAGAAAUGCAUAUAUACAAUUACAACGCUUUACUCUCAGGUGCGAUCAUACCAGCACUAAUGCACCGGAUCCCAUCAGAACUCCGCAGUUAAGCGUGCUUGGGCGAGAGUAGUACUAGGAUGGGUGACCUCCUGGGAAGUCCUUGUGUUGCACCUCUUUUUGCCAAAAUUUCGUGUUCUUUUUGUUAAUUAGCGUAAUUUUACGUCGUUUUUGAAAAAUAAACUUCGAUUGUAUUUCAUUUUUUCCGUUAAUUUACGCUACCUAACACUCUAUUAGUUAAUUAAUUAGCGUAGUUUGACGUCUUUUUUGAAAAAUAAAUUAGAAAUGCAUAUAUACAAUUACAACGCUUUACUCUCAGGUGCGAUCAUACCAGCACUAAUGCACCGGAUCCCAUCAGAACUCCGCAGUUAAGCGUGCUUGGGCGAGAGUAGUACUAGGAUGGGUGACCUCCUGGGAAGUCCUUGUGUUGCACCUCUUUUUGCCAAAAUUUCGUGUUCUUUUUGUUAAUUAGCGUAAUUUUACGUCGUUUUUGAAAAAUAAACUUCGAUUGUAUUUCAUUUUUUCCGUUAAUUUACGCUACCUAACACUCUAUUAGUUAAUUAAUUAGCGUAGUUUGACGUCUUUUUUGAAAAUAAAUUAGAAAUGCAUAUAUACAAUUACAACGCUUUACUCUCAGGUGCGAUCAUACCAGCACUAAUGCACCGGAUCCAUCAGAACUCCGCAGUUAAGCGUGCUUGGGCGAGAGUAGUACUAGGAUGGGUGACCUCCUGGGAAGUCCUUGUGUUGCACCUCUUUUUGCCAAAAUUUCGUGUUCUUUUUGUUAAUUAGCGUAAUUUUACGUCGUUUUUGAAAAAUAAACUUCGAUUGUAUUUCAUUUUUUCCGUUAAUUUACGCUACCUAACACUCUAUUAGUUAAUUAAUUAGCGUAGUUUGACGUCUUUUUUGAAAAAUAAAUUAGAAAUGCAUAUAUACAAUUACAACGCUUUACUCUCAGGUGCGAUCAUACCAGCACUAAUGCACCGGAUCCCAUCAGAACUCCGCAGUUAAGCGUGCUUGGGCGAGAGUAGUACUAGGAUGGGUGACCUCCUGGGAAGUCCUUGUGUUGCACCUCUUUUUGCCAAAAUUUCGUGUUCUUUUUGUUAAUUAGCGUAAUUUUACGUCGUUUUUGAAAAAUAAACUUCGAUUGUAUUUCAUUUUUUCCGUUAAUUUACGCUACCUAACACUCUAUUAGUUAAUUAAUUAGCGUAGUUUGACGUCUUUUUUGAAAAAUAAAUUAGAAAUGCAUAUAUACAAUUACAACGCUUUACUCUCAGGUGCGAUCAUACCAGCACUAAUGCACCGGAUCCCAUCAGAACUCCGCAGUUAAGCGUGCUUGGGCGAGAGUAGUACUAGGAUGGGUGACCUCCUGGGAAGUCCUUGUGUUGCACCUCUUUUUGCCAAAAUUUCGUGUUCUUUUUGUUAAUUAGCGUAAUUUUACGUCGUUUUUGAAAAAUAAACUUCGAUUGUAUUUCAUUUUUUCCGUUAAUUUACGCUACCUAACACUCUAUUAGUUAAUUAAUUAGCGUAGUUUGACGUCUUUUUUGAAAAAUAAAUUAGAAAUGCAUAUAUACAAUUACAACGCUUUACUCUCAGGUGCGAUCAUACCAGCACUAAUGCACCGGAUCCCAUCAGAACUCCGCAGUUAAGCGUGCUUGGGCGAGAGUAGUACUAGGAUGGGUGACCUCCUGGGAAGUCCUUGUGUUGCACCUCUUUUUGCCAAAAUUUCGUGUUCUUUUUGUUAAUUAGCGUAAUUUUACGUCGUUUUUGAAAAUAAACUUCGAUUGUAUUUCAUUUUUUCCGUUAAUUUACGCUACCUAACACUCUAUUAGUUAAUUAAUUAGCGUAGUUUGACGUCUUUUUUGAAAAAUAAAUUAGAAAUGCAUAUAUACAAUUACAACGCUUUACUCUCAGGUGCGAUCAUACCAGCACUAAUGCACCGGAUCCCAUCAGAACUCCGCAGUUAAGCGUGCUUGGGCGAGAGUAGUACUAGGAUGGGUGACCUCCUGGGAAGUCCUUGUGUUGCACCUCUUUUUGCCAAAAUUUCGUGUUCUUUUUGUUAAUUAGCGUAAUUUUACGUCGUUUUUGAAAAAUAAACUUCGAUUGUAUUUCAUUUUUUCCGUUAAUUUACGCUACCUAACACUCUAUUAGUUAAUUAAUUAGCGUAGUUUGACGUCUUUUUUGAAAAAUAAAUUAGAAAUGCAUAUAUACAAUUACAACGCUUUACUCUCAGGUGCGAUCAUACCAGCACUAAUGCACCGGAUCCCAUCAGAACUCCGCAGUUAAGCGUGCUUGGGCGAGAGUAGUACUAGGAUGGGUGACCUCCUGGGAAGUCCUUGUGUUGCACCUCUUUUUGCCAAAAUUUCGUGUUCUUUUUGUUAAUUAGCGUAAUUUUACGUCGUUUUUGAAAAAUAAACUUCGAUUGUAUUUCAUUUUUUCCGUUAAUUUACGCUACCUAACACUCUAUUAGUUAAUUAAUUAGCGUAGUUUGACGUCUUUUUGAAAAAUAAAUUAGAAAUGCAUAUAUACAAUUACAACGCUUUACUCUCAGGUGCGAUCAUACCAGCACUAAUGCACCGGAUCCCAUCAGAACUCCGCAGUUAAGCGUGCUUGGGCGAGAGUAGUACUAGGAUGGGUGACCUCCUGGGAAGUCCUUGUGUUGCACCUCUUUUUGCCAAAAUUUCGUGUUCUUUUUGUUAAUUAGCGUAAUUUUACGUCGUUUUUGAAAAUAAACUUCGAUUGUAUUUCAUUUUUUCCGUUAAUUUACGCUACCUAACACUCUAUUAGUUAAUUAAUUAGCGUAGUUUGACGUCUUUUUUGAAAAAUAAAUUAGAAAUGCAUAUAUACAAUUACAACGCUUUACUCUCAGGUGCGAUCAUACCAGCACUAAUGCACCGGAUCCCAUCAGAACUCCGCAGUUAAGCGUGCUUGGGCGAGAGUAGUACUAGGAUGGGUGACCUCCUGGGAAGUCCUUGUGUUGCACCUCUUUUUGCCAAAAUUUCGUGUUCUUUUUGUUAAUUAGCGUAAUUUUACGUCGUUUUUGAAAAAUAAACUUCGAUUGUAUUUCAUUUUUUCCGUUAAUUUACGCUACCUAACACUCUAUUAGUUAAUUAAUUAGCGUAGUUUGACGUCUUUUUUGAAAAAUAAAUUAGAAAUGCAUAUAUACAAUUACAACGCUUUACUCUCAGGUGCGAUCAUACCAGCACUAAUGCACCGGAUCCCAUCAGAACUCCGCAGUUAAGCGUGCUUGGGCGAGAGUAGUACUAGGAUGGGUGACCUCCUGGGAAGUCCUUGUGUUGCACCUCUUUUUGCCAAAAUUUCGUGUUCUUUUUGUUAAUUAGCGUAAUUUUACGUCGUUUUUGAAAAAUAAACUUCGAUUGUAUUUCAUUUUUUCCGUUAAUUUACGCUACCUAACACUCUAUUAGUUAAUUAAUUAGCGUAGUUUGACGUCUUUUUUGAAAAAUAAAUUAGAAAUGCAUAUAUACAAUUACAACGCUUUACUCUCAGGUGCGAUCAUACCAGCACUAAUGCACCGGAUCCCAUCAGAACUCCGCAGUUAAGCGUGCUUGGGCGAGAGUAGUACUAGGAUGGGUGACCUCCUGGGAAGUCCUUGUGUUGCACCUCUUUUUGCCAAAAUUUCGUGUUCUUUUUGUUAAUUAGCGUAAUUUUACGUCGUUUUUGAAAAAUAAACUUCGAUUGUAUUUCAUUUUUUCCGUUAAUUUACGCUACCUAACACUCUAUUAGUUAAUUAAUUAGCGUAGUUUGACGUCUUUUUUGAAAAAUAAAUUAGAAAUGCAUAUAUACAAUUACAACGCUUUACUCUCAGGUGCGAUCAUACCAGCACUAAUGCACCGGAUCCCAUCAGAACUCCGCAGUUAAGCGUGCUUGGGCGAGAGUAGUACUAGGAUGGGUGACCUCCUGGGAAGUCCUUGUGUUGCACCUCUUUUUGCCAAAAUUUCGUGUUCUUUUUGUUAAUUAGCGUAAUUUUACGUCGUUUUUGAAAAAUAAACUUCGAUUGUAUUUCAUUUUUUCCGUUAAUUUACGCUACCUAACACUCUAUUAGUUAAUUAAUUAGCGUAGUUUGACGUCUUUUUUGAAAAAUAAAUUAGAAAUGCAUAUAUACAAUUACAACGCUUUACUCUCAGGUGCGAUCAUACCAGCACUAAUGCACCGGAUCCCAUCAGAACUCCGCAGUUAAGCGUGCUUGGGCGAGAGUAGUACUAGGAUGGGUGACCUCCUGGGAAGUCCUUGUGUUGCACCUCUUUUUGCCAAAAUUUCGUGUUCUUUUUGUUAAUUAGCGUAAUUUUACGUCGUUUUUGAAAAAUAAACUUCGAUUGUAUUUCAUUUUUUCCGUUAAUUUACGCUACCUAACACUCUAUUAGUUAAUUAAUUAGCGUAGUUUGACGUCUUUUUUGAAAAAUAAAUUAGAAAUGCAUAUAUACAAUUACAACGCUUUACUCUCAGGUGCGAUCAUACCAGCACUAAUGCACCGGAUCCCAUCAGAACUCCGCAGUUAAGCGUGCUUGGGCGAGAGUAGUACUAGGAUGGGUGACCUCCUGGGAAGUCCUUGUGUUGCACCUCUUUUUGCCAAAAUUUCGUGUUCUUUUUGUUAAUUAGCGUAAUUUUACGUCGUUUUUGAAAAAUAAACUUCGAUUGUAUUUCAUUUUUUCCGUUAAUUUACGCUACCUAACACUCUAUUAGUUAAUUAAUUAGCGUAGUUUGACGUCUUUUUUGAAAAAUAAAUUAGAAAUGCAUAUAUACAAUUACAACGCUUUACUCUCAGGUGCGAUCAUACCAGCACUAAUGCACCGGAUCCCAUCAGAACUCCGCAGUUAAGCGUGCUUGGGCGAGAGUAGUACUAGGAUGGGUGACCUCCUGGGAAGUCCUUGUGUUGCACCUCUUUUUGCCAAAAUUUCGUGUUCUUUUUGUUAAUUAGCGUAAUUUUACGUCGUUUUUGAAAAAUAAACUUCGAUUGUAUUUCAUUUUUUCCGUUAAUUUACGCUACCUAACACUCUAUUAGUUAAUUAAUUAGCGUAGUUUGACGUCUUUUUUGAAAAAUAAAUUAGAAAUGCAUAUAUACAAUUACAACGCUUUACUCUCAGGUGCGAUCAUACCAGCACUAAUGCACCGGAUCCCAUCAGAACUCCGCAGUUAAGCGUGCUUGGGCGAGAGUAGUACUAGGAUGGGUGACCUCCUGGGAAGUCCUUGUGUUGCACCUCUUUUUGCCAAAAUUUCGUGUUCUUUUUGUUAAUUAGCGUAAUUUUACGUCGUUUUUGAAAAAUAAACUUCGAUUGUAUUUCAUUUUUUCCGUUAAUUUACGCUACCUAACACUCUAUUAGUUAAUUAAUUAGCGUAGUUUGACGUCUUUUUUGAAAAAUAAAUUAGAAAUGCAUAUAUACAAUUACAACGCUUUACUCUCAGGUGCGAUCAUACCAGCACUAAUGCACCGGAUCCCAUCAGAACUCCGCAGUUAAGCGUGCUUGGGCGAGAGUAGUACUAGGAUGGGUGACCUCCUGGGAAGUCCUUGUGUUGCACCUCUUUUUGCCAAAAUUUCGUGUUCUUUUUGUUAAUUAGCGUAAUUUUACGUCGUUUUUGAAAAAUAAACUUCGAUUGUAUUUCAUUUUUUCCGUUAAUUUACGCUACCUAACACUCUAUUAGUUAAUUAAUUAGCGUAGUUUGACGUCUUUUUUGAAAAAUAAAUUAGAAAUGCAUAUAUACAAUUACAACGCUUUACUCUCAGGUGCGAUCAUACCAGCACUAAUGCACCGGAUCCCAUCAGAACUCCGCAGUUAAGCGUGCUUGGGCGAGAGUAGUACUAGGAUGGGUGACCUCCUGGGAAGUCCUUGUGUUGCACCUCUUUUUGCCAAAAUUUCGUGUUCUUUUUGUUAAUUAGCGUAAUUUUACGUCGUUUUUGAAAAAUAAACUUCGAUUGUAUUUCAUUUUUUCCGUUAAUUUACGCUACCUAACACUCUAUUAGUUAAUUAAUUAGCGUAGUUUGACGUCUUUUUUGAAAAAUAAAUUAGAAAUGCAUAUAUACAAUUACAACGCUUUACUCUCAGGUGCGAUCAUACCAGCACUAAUGCACCGGAUCCCAUCAGAACUCCGCAGUUAAGCGUGCUUGGGCGAGAGUAGUACUAGGAUGGGUGACCUCCUGGGAAGUCCUUGUGUUGCACCUCUUUUUGCCAAAAUUUCGUGUUCUUUUUGUUAAUUAGCGUAAUUUUACGUCGUUUUUGAAAAAUAAACUUCGAUUGUAUUUCAUUUUUUCCGUUAAUUUACGCUACCUAACACUCUAUUAGUUAAUUAAUUAGCGUAGUUUGACGUCUUUUUUGAAAAAUAAAUUAGAAAUGCAUAUAUACAAUUACAACGCUUUACUCUCAGGUGCGAUCAUACCAGCACUAAUGCACCGGAUCCCAUCAGAACUCCGCAGUUAAGCGUGCUUGGGCGAGAGUAGUACUAGGAUGGGUGACCUCCUGGGAAGUCCUUGUGUUGCACCUCUUUUUGCCAAAAUUUCGUGUUCUUUUUGUUAAUUAGCGUAAUUUUACGUCGUUUUUGAAAAAUAAACUUCGAUUGUAUUUCAUUUUUUCCGUUAAUUUACGCUACCUAACACUCUAUUAGUUAAUUAAUUAGCGUAGUUUGACGUCUUUUUUGAAAAAUAAAUUAGAAAUGCAUAUAUACAAUUACAACGCUUUACUCUCAGGUGCGAUCAUACCAGCACUAAUGCACCGGAUCCCAUCAGAACUCCGCAGUUAAGCGUGCUUGGGCGAGAGUAGUACUAGGAUGGGUGACCUCCUGGGAAGUCCUUGUGUUGCACCUCUUUUUGCCAAAAUUUCGUGUUCUUUUUGUUAAUUAGCGUAAUUUUACGUCGUUUUUGAAAAAUAAACUUCGAUUGUAUUUCAUUUUUUCCGUUAAUUUACGCUACCUAACACUCUAUUAGUUAAUUAAUUAGCGUAGUUUGACGUCUUUUUUGAAAAAUAAAUUAGAAAUGCAUAUAUACAAUUACAACGCUUUACUCUCAGGUGCGAUCAUACCAGCACUAAUGCACCGGAUCCCAUCAGAACUCCGCAGUUAAGCGUGCUUGGGCGAGAGUAGUACUAGGAUGGGUGACCUCCUGGGAAGUCCUUGUGUUGCACCUCUUUUUGCCAAAAUUUCGUGUUCUUUUUGUUAAUUAGCGUAAUUUUACGUCGUUUUUGAAAAAUAAACUUCGAUUGUAUUUCAUUUUUUCCGUUAAUUUACGCUACCUAACACUCUAUUAGUUAAUUAAUUAGCGUAGUUUGACGUCUUUUUUGAAAAUAAAUUAGAAAUGCAUAUAUACAAUUACAACGCUUUACUCUCAGGUGCGAUCAUACCAGCACUAAUGCACCGGAUCCCAUCAGAACUCCGCAGUUAAGCGUGCUUGGGCGAGAGUAGUACUAGGAUGGGUGACCUCCUGGGAAGUCCUUGUGUUGCACCUCUUUUUGCCAAAAUUUCGUGUUCUUUUUGUUAAUUAGCGUAAUUUUACGUCGUUUUUGAAAAAUAAACUUCGAUUGUAUUUCAUUUUUUCCGUUAAUUUACGCUACCUAACACUCUAUUAGUUAAUUAAUUAGCGUAGUUUGACGUCUUUUUUGAAAAAUAAAUUAGAAAUGCAUAUAUACAAUUACAACGCUUUACUCUCAGGUGCGAUCAUACCAGCACUAAUGCACCGGAUCCCAUCAGAACUCCGCAGUUAAGCGUGCUUGGGCGAGAGUAGUACUAGGAUGGGUGACCUCCUGGGAAGUCCUUGUGUUGCACCUCUUUUUGCCAAAAUUUCGUGUUCUUUUUGUUAAUUAGCGUAAUUUUACGUCGUUUUUGAAAAAUAAACUUCGAUUGUAUUUCAUUUUUUCCGUUAAUUUACGCUACCUAACACUCUAUUAGUUAAUUAAUUAGCGUAGUUUGACGUCUUUUUUGAAAAAUAAAUUAGAAAUGCAUAUAUACAAUUACAACGCUUUACUCUCAGGUGCGAUCAUACCAGCACUAAUGCACCGGAUCCCAUCAGAACUCCGCAGUUAAGCGUGCUUGGGCGAGAGUAGUACUAGGAUGGGUGACCUCCUGGGAAGUCCUUGUGUUGCACCUCUUUUUGCCAAAAUUUCGUGUUCUUUUUGUUAAUUAGCGUAAUUUUACGUCGUUUUUGAAAAAUAAACUUCGAUUGUAUUUCAUUUUUUCCGUUAAUUUACGCUACCUAACACUCUAUUAGUUAAUUAAUUAGCGUAGUUUGACGUCUUUUUUGAAAAAUAAAUUAGAAAUGCAUAUAUACAAUUACAACGCUUUACUCUCAGGUGCGAUCAUACCAGCACUAAUGCACCGGAUCCCAUCAGAACUCCGCAGUUAAGCGUGCUUGGGCGAGAGUAGUACUAGGAUGGGUGACCUCCUGGGAAGUCCUUGUGUUGCACCUCUUUUUGCCAAAAUUUCGUGUUCUUUUUGUUAAUUAGCGUAAUUUUACGUCGUUUUUGAAAAAUAAACUUCGAUUGUAUUUCAUUUUUUCCGUUAAUUUACGCUACCUAACACUCUAUUAGUUAAUUAAUUAGCGUAGUUUGACGUCUUUUUUGAAAAAUAAAUUAGAAAUGCAUAUAUACAAUUACAACGCUUUACUCUCAGGUGCGAUCAUACCAGCACUAAUGCACCGGAUCCCAUCAGAACUCCGCAGUUAAGCGUGCUUGGGCGAGAGUAGUACUAGGAUGGGUGACCUCCUGGGAAGUCCUUGUGUUGCACCUCUUUUUGCCAAAAUUUCGUGUUCUUUUUGUUAAUUAGCGUAAUUUUACGUCGUUUUUGAAAAAUAAACUUCGAUUGUAUUUCAUUUUUUCCGUUAAUUUACGCUACCUAACACUCUAUUAGUUAAUUAAUUAGCGUAGUUUGACGUCUUUUUUGAAAAAUAAAUUAGAAAUGCAUAUAUACAAUUACAACGCUUUACUCUCAGGUGCGAUCAUACCAGCACUAAUGCACCGGAUCCCAUCAGAACUCCGCAGUUAAGCGUGCUUGGGCGAGAGUAGUACUAGGAUGGGUGACCUCCUGGGAAGUCCUUGUGUUGCACCUCUUUUUGCCAAAAUUUCGUGUUCUUUUUGUUAAUUAGCGUAAUUUUACGUCGUUUUUGAAAAAUAAACUUCGAUUGUAUUUCAUUUUUUCCGUUAAUUUACGCUACCUAACACUCUAUUAGUUAAUUAAUUAGCGUAGUUUGACGUCUUUUUUGAAAAAUAAAUUAGAAAUGCAUAUAUACAAUUACAACGCUUUACUCUCAGGUGCGAUCAUACCAGCACUAAUGCACCGGAUCCCAUCAGAACUCCGCAGUUAAGCGUGCUUGGGCGAGAGUAGUACUAGGAUGGGUGACCUCCUGGGAAGUCCUUGUGUUGCACCUCUUUUUGCCAAAAUUUCGUGUUCUUUUUGUUAAUUAGCGUAAUUUUACGUCGUUUUUGAAAAAUAAACUUCGAUUGUAUUUCAUUUUUUCCGUUAAUUUACGCUACCUAACACUCUAUUAGUUAAUUAAUUAGCGUAGUUUGACGUCUUUUUUGAAAAAUAAAUUAGAAAUGCAUAUAUACAAUUACAACGCUUUACUCUCAGGUGCGAUCAUACCAGCACUAAUGCACCGGAUCCCAUCAGAACUCCGCAGUUAAGCGUGCUUGGGCGAGAGUAGUACUAGGAUGGGUGACCUCCUGGGAAGUCCUUGUGUUGCACCUCUUUUUGCCAAAAUUUCGUGUUCUUUUUGUUAAUUAGCGUAAUUUUACGUCGUUUUUGAAAAAUAAACUUCGAUUGUAUUUCAUUUUUUCCGUUAAUUUACGCUACCUAACACUCUAUUAGUUAAUUAAUUAGCGUAGUUUGACGUCUUUUUUGAAAAAUAAAUUAGAAAUGCAUAUAUACAAUUACAACGCUUUACUCUCAGGUGCGAUCAUACCAGCACUAAUGCACCGGAUCCCAUCAGAACUCCGCAGUUAAGCGUGCUUGGGCGAGAGUAGUACUAGGAUGGGUGACCUCCUGGGAAGUCCUUGUGUUGCACCUCUUUUUGCCAAAAUUUCGUGUUCUUUUUGUUAAUUAGCGUAAUUUUACGUCGUUUUUGAAAAAUAAACUUCGAUUGUAUUUCAUUUUUUCCGUUAAUUUACGCUACCUAACACUCUAUUAGUUAAUUAAUUAGCGUAGUUUGACGUCUUUUUUGAAAAAUAAAUUAGAAAUGCAUAUAUACAAUUACAACGCUUUACUCUCAGGUGCGAUCAUACCAGCACUAAUGCACCGGAUCCCAUCAGAACUCCGCAGUUAAGCGUGCUUGGGCGAGAGUAGUACUAGGAUGGGUGACCUCCUGGGAAGUCCUUGUGUUGCACCUCUUUUUGCCAAAAUUUCGUGUUCUUUUUGUUAAUUAGCGUAAUUUUACGUCGUUUUUGAAAAAUAAACUUCGAUUGUAUUUCAUUUUUUCCGUUAAUUUACGCUACCUAACACUCUAUUAGUUAAUUAAUUAGCGUAGUUUGACGUCUUUUUUGAAAAAUAAAUUAGAAAUGCAUAUAUACAAUUACAACGCUUUACUCUCAGGUGCGAUCAUACCAGCACUAAUGCACCGGAUCCCAUCAGAACUCCGCAGUUAAGCGUGCUUGGGCGAGAGUAGUACUAGGAUGGGUGACCUCCUGGGAAGUCCUUGUGUUGCACCUCUUUUUGCCAAAAUUUCGUGUUCUUUUUGUUAAUUAGCGUAAUUUUACGUCGUUUUUGAAAAAUAAACUUCGAUUGUAUUUCAUUUUUUCCGUUAAUUUACGCUACCUAACACUCUAUUAGUUAAUUAAUUAGCGUAGUUUGACGUCUUUUUUGAAAAAUAAAUUAGAAAUGCAUAUAUACAAUUACAACGCUUUACUCUCAGGUGCGAUCAUACCAGCACUAAUGCACCGGAUCCCAUCAGAACUCCGCAGUUAAGCGUGCUUGGGCGAGAGUAGUACUAGGAUGGGUGACCUCCUGGGAAGUCCUUGUGUUGCACCUCUUUUUGCCAAAAUUUCGUGUUCUUUUUGUUAAUUAGCGUAAUUUUACGUCGUUUUUGAAAAAUAAACUUCGAUUGUAUUUCAUUUUUUCCGUUAAUUUACGCUACCUAACACUCUAUUAGUUAAUUAAUUAGCGUAGUUUGACGUCUUUUUUGAAAAAUAAAUUAGAAAUGCAUAUAUACAAUUACAACGCUUUACUCUCAGGUGCGAUCAUACCAGCACUAAUGCACCGGAUCCCAUCAGAACUCCGCAGUUAAGCGUGCUUGGGCGAGAGUAGUACUAGGAUGGGUGACCUCCUGGGAAGUCCUUGUGUUGCACCUCUUUUUGCCAAAAUUUCGUGUUCUUUUUGUUAAUUAGCGUAAUUUUACGUCGUUUUUGAAAAAUAAACUUCGAUUGUAUUUCAUUUUUUCCGUUAAUUUACGCUACCUAACACUCUAUUAGUUAAUUAAUUAGCGUAGUUUGACGUCUUUUUUGAAAAAUAAAUUAGAAAUGCAUAUAUACAAUUACAACGCUUUACUCUCAGGUGCGAUCAUACCAGCACUAAUGCACCGGAUCCCAUCAGAACUCCGCAGUUAAGCGUGCUUGGGCGAGAGUAGUACUAGGAUGGGUGACCUCCUGGGAAGUCCUUGUGUUGCACCUCUUUUUGCCAAAAUUUCGUGUUCUUUUUGUUAAUUAGCGUAAUUUUACGUCGUUUUUGAAAAAUAAACUUCGAUUGUAUUUCAUUUUUUCCGUUAAUUUACGCUACCUAACACUCUAUUAGUUAAUUAAUUAGCGUAGUUUGACGUCUUUUUUGAAAAAUAAAUUAGAAAUGCAUAUAUACAAUUACAACGCUUUACUCUCAGGUGCGAUCAUACCAGCACUAAUGCACCGGAUCCCAUCAGAACUCCGCAGUUAAGCGUGCUUGGGCGAGAGUAGUACUAGGAUGGGUGACCUCCUGGGAAGUCCUUGUGUUGCACCUCU